UUGAUGAUUCUGUGUUUAAAGAAGAUAAAGAACACCUUCUUUUCGAUUCGGAUUCAUCUUCUCCACCUUCUCCAUCUCCUCCACCUCCAUCAUAUCCCAAAGAAGCACUCCCAUGAGUCCCUCUAUCAUCUUCAUCUUCAUCAUUAGAGAAUGUUGACGAAGCAUCAACCACAAUCACAUCACCUGACUCAUAUUGACCUCCGGUUUGAGCAGAUUGGUUUCCCUCUUCGACGUUGUUCUCAUUGCUUCCAACUUGUUGUUGAGUGUUAUCUCUCUGCUGCUGCUGUUGUUGUUGUUCAGCUUGUUCAGUUCCAUCUAGUUGCAUUCCUGAGCGGCGGUUAGGCGGAGGUUUGGAGUGAUUAUGAGCUCCUUUGUAUAUAAUCUCAGUAAUGUGGCCUUCUCUUGAUCUCUCGACCUUCUUCUUCACCUGACAGUUCGGGUUUGUGCACUUGUAAUAGCUUCGUGGAUACUCGCUUCCUUUCACUAGCUUCUGUCCGUAUUUCCUCCAGUUAUAUCCAUCCUCUGCAGGUGCACCACCACCAACCAUCGAAUCAACACCUCUUUGCUCUUCUCCUUCUCCUUCUUCCACUUCUUGAUGAUCAUUGGUGUUUGUAGUGGCAUCAGAUGUCUUCCUCUUCAACCCACUUUGUUCAUAACCGAGUUUUUGAUGAGAAGAACUGUUGUUGUAGUUACUAUUAUCAACUGGCGUCAUCUCUGUAGCGUUUUGGAAGAAAGAGGAAGAGGAUGUUGAUUGAAGACGACGAACCACAGUCACAGCCGCAAACGAAAACUUUUAGUUCCGCCGCAAACAUCCAACUGGACACCGAAAAAAAAACAAAAACCCAACCGAUCCGGAUCCGAAUUUAGCAGUGGAUUACGAGAGAUAUGUUCCUCUUCCUGUCUCCUUCGUCUUCAGGAUUUUCUCUCUCCUAAACGAGAAAGAUAUGUUUUUUUUUGUUUACACAAAACAAAAUGAUGAUGAAUAUUUGACAAAAGAGCAAAGAUUUCAACAGUAUGAUUAGAUUAAUCACUGUGACUUUCUCUCCAUCGACACGAAAAUUAUAAUAAAAAAUCAACUUUGCGUUUGUUAUGCUUUGAAUUUAUAAAAAUUAAUAUAAAAGAGGAAGACAAAAAAGGAGACAAAGAGAGAAUUAUGAAACCAUUUGAUCUUUGUUUUCUGAUUGUUACUGAAGACAAGGUAGACAAGGAAGAGGAAGAAUGAAAGUUUUUGCAGAAAUGGUGAAGAAGAUGGCUAUUUGUGAUUUUGUGUUACACAAAACGUUUUCUGUCUACUGAAUUUUCCUAUAACAACACGCCACGUGGAGUAAUCGAGGUUGAGAGAAUAAGAUCGUCGGCUAAUCGGUUUGAUGUGCGGUGAGGUGUGGCGCAGGUGAUCUUUAACAUUUAUUACUAUUCCAGUUUCAUUUUUUCGGGUUUGGCUAUUAAUAGGAAUAAAUUUUAUUAAAAGCGGGAAAAUUAUUGCCAAAAGUUCUUACUCUGCCACAUGUCGAAUGAAGAAAAAAAGAUAAUUAUUAUUCUAUUAUUGCACUCUUAUUAUAUUGGUUCGAUACAUAUUCAGAAACUGAUAGAAAAGAAAAACCGAAUUAUCCUUUGUGGAGGAGAACAGAUAAAAGUUAAAUAUAAAGCAGGUUGUUGUUUGUUUUUACUAUAAGUGUCACAUUGUUAUAAAAUUCUGGAACAUAACAAAUCGUAUCUGCAAGCUAUUUAUAGUCUAUGUAUGUGAGUAACUAUGCUAGAAAAAUUAAGUGAAAGGGAUAUAUAUAUACUUUGCCAAAAUAUUGGUACCAUUAACAAGUUGUAGAUUAAAGCAUGGCAAGAACAAACACAAGGAGUGGAUUAAUGUACAGAAAAUUUGUCACUUGUUCUAACUUAUAUUGACAUCCAAUAGUCAAAAUAUGUUUGUGUCAACCAGUUACAACAAUAAGCAAUUUAAAUAAUCUAUGUUUUUGUCUUAUAUUGAGAUUUAAUUAGUCGAUUAUUAAUUAUUAUGCUUUUAAGUACACAAAUCAUCGUUUAGUCGAAGUUCAAACUAGUAGUAUAUGAAACUAAAGACGUACAUUUUGAAAUUGUUUCAUUUUGAAAUUGACAUGUUCUCGUACAUCUUUCGACUUAUAUCAAUAAACGUGUAACUGUUUAGUUUUGAAUUUGACAUGUUCUCAUACAUGCAUCAGGCAUGUGAUCUUUUAUUUUCUAAUUGGUAUUUUACAUGCAUGCAUAUGAUUUGAUGAAACAUAUACUCUUAAAUUAAAACAUAUCCAGGAGAUACUUUUAAGAUACAUUGUAAAAUUUAGAGGUUGCUUGCAUUAUUGCAUAGAAAAAUGACUCAAAAUAGAUGAAAUGUGAUAUACUACCUGAUGAUAAACGGAUCAUGAAAACUGAAAAAUCAUCAAACGAACAAAACAACUCCCGACAAAGAUUCUUUACAAAUAGUAUAUUCAAGAUACGUUAAAUAUUUAUGUCUGCGUAAACCCUAAAUACACAAUUUUAAGUACCGUUACUAUCAACUACGGAUGAGUAACGUACGUCAAGGGCUACAUAACUUGCGGUCUCAGAAAAAUAUAGAGAGACUAGAGUAUUUCAGUUUAUGAAGACAUUAAUAAAAUAGAAUCAUUUAAUACUAGAUUUAAUUAUAGAGUACUCUUAAAUCUUAAUUAUACCUUAAACUAGGUAUUUUGCCCGCGAUGCGGGCUUAAACAUUUUCAUAAUUUUUAAAAGUUCUUUGUACACUAUAUUCAUUAUACUAAAAUAAAUCUUAAAAUAAAUUAAUAUUAAAUUUUUAAUUAUGUAAUUAAAAAUUAUUUGAUUAAUAUGUAAUUAUGUAAUUUAUGUUUUUAACUUUUUACUAAAAUACUUUUUCAGAUAACAAUACAAUAUAUAUAUAUAUAUAUAUAUAAUCUUUUUUAAUUAUAUUUUUUGAUUUUGGAUAAUUCAAUAUUUUAUUUUUAAUUAUAUAAUUACGAAUUUUAUUUGUUUAAUAUUUAGUUAUAUAAUUCAUGUUUUUAACUUUUUACUAAAAGACUUUUUCAGAUAACAAUACAAUAUAUACAUAAAUUAUCUCUUUUUAAAAUUAUAUUUUCAGAUUUUGGAUAAUUCUUACUAUUAUUAAUUUUAAUCAAUUAUCUAAUCAAAUAAAUUAAAAUAUCGUUUUUAUUUUUUUAUUUAGUUAUACAUUUUAUUCAUUAAGGGUAUAAACAUUAUUAACCACUCUAACUUUUAACGUAAGAGCUCGAUUCCAAAUAUAUAUAUAUAUAUAUAAUCUUUUUUUUAAUUAUAUUUUUCUAUUUUGGAUAAUUCAAUAUUUUAUCUUUAAUUAUAUAAUUAUGAAUUUUAUUUGAUAUUUAGUUAUAUAAUUCAUUUUUUAACUUUUUACUAAAAGACUUUUUUUCAGAUAACAAUAUAAUAUAUACAUAAAUUAUCUCUUUUUUAAAUUAUAUUUUCAGAUUUUGGAUAAUUAUUACUAUUAUUAACUUUAAUCAACUAUCUAAUCAAAUAAAUUAAAAUUUCAUUUUUAUUUUUUAAUUUAGUUAUACAUUUUAUUCAUUAUAUAAUUACGAGUUUUAUUUGAUUAAUAUUUAGUUAUAUAAUUCAUGUUUUGACUUUUUACUAAAAGACUUUUUUCAGAUAACAAUACAAUAUAUACAGAAAUUAUCUCUUUUUUAAAUUAUAUUUUCAGAUUUUGGAUAAUUCUUACUAUUAUUAAUUUUAAUCAAUUAUCUAAUCUUUUUUUUUUUUACAUAAUCAAUUAUCUAAUCAAAUAAAUUAAAAUUUAGUUUUUAUUUUUUAAUUUAGUUAUACAUUUUAUUCAGUAAGGGUAUAAAUGUUAUUAACCACUCUAACUUUUAAUGUGAGAGCUCGAUUCCAAAAAUUUACUUCGCAAAUAAUAGUAUAGAUUGAAUAUUUAAUUGGAAAUGGGGUGGGCAGUUUUUCCAAAAAACCCGGUCAAAAAGAGACAUUGACCAAGCCUUUAAUGGUUUUUAUUUUCUUUUUCCUUUUGUUCCCUUUAACAGCCUCAAAUAAUCACGUUACAGCGCUGUGACACAACACUCAUGUGACAGCCGAAGCACGACUGGCGUGGAGUAAUUUCUUUCUCUCUCUAGUGGGAGCCCGCAAAACAAACUUUCAGACACAGAGGAUCGACGGCUCUGAUUUCUUGUCAGUUCUUACGUCUAUAGUAGGCCCCAUAGUGUAAUAUGGACCCACACUAAUGGAAAGACCAAACAUGGGUUUUGAAAUUUUACACUCAGCCCAUUAAGCCCAACAUGCUUGAAUAAAUUAUAAAAUAUAUAUUGGUUGACCUAACUGACUUGUUCUGACUGUCGGAUGAGCGAACCAAAAGUCAACAACUUGAAAAAGGUAAAUGACCCGACCCGACGUAAAAGACCCGCACCGACAAAGUCACGAUAGGAGCCCAAGUGGCUGUAGUGGCACAACUUUCUAUAAGGAUUUUCAGUGCGUUGGAUUAGCCUGACACGAGGAAGCUGAUCUCUACCCGUUGCUUGUGUAUGCAUCACCGUUUAAAAAUCACUCAGCCGUAGUAGAAAGUCCAAAACUUUAGAAGCUCUUCUCUGUCUAUCUCUUUGGUAAUUUUUCUUUCUUCGUCUUCCUUUGCUUGUAUAGUUUUGUUGAAACCAUGUUAUGAUUUGUUUUUUUUUUUAUUUUAUUUGAAGAACUUGAAGUGUUUCAGUGUUUGGUGUUUUUCUCUUGAGAAACAAGUCUUGUCUGCUACUCUGUUUUCUAGGAAGGAUUGUUCGGAACUAGCUGUUGUGUAGUGAAAUUUAGUUAUAUUUCCGCGGUACGAGUGUACUUGGAGCUUUCCCGCCGUAUAACCACGGAGCAGUGUUCUUUGGACAAAAAUAGAAAUAGUUCAUGUUAGUAUGUUAUUCAAAUUAAUAGCUUCCUACUGUAACCAAAAGAAUUUGACUUUUGAGAUUUCAUUGUUUUCUUGUUUUAAUAUAUAGUCCUUGAAGAUAAUCUUUUUGUUUGUUGUUGUUAAUAGCCUCGUGCUCAAUCCUCAUAAACAAUCCGCAAGGCAUUUGUAUUUAACAUAUAGUAUUAGACGUAAGAGUCUAACAAACAGUCAUCAAUUCAUCUGCAUGUAAUGCAAUUAAUUAUAGAAGUGUCAGUUGUUAGGAAUCGUAUAGAGGAUUGCAUUUAGUAAGUUGUUUGCAGUUUGAGUCUUGCUUUAUUUUCUUGAACCUGAGAAUUUGAUCUAAAUCUUAACUACUUCCAUGUCUGGUUUUAACACCAUAUUAUAUACAAAGAGUUUAACAAGAAUCUUGUUUAUAAACAAUAUAUUUUGAUUUUAUCUUGUUCGCUGCUGUGGCGCAUUUAUCUUGAACUCACAGAUAGUUCUUUAUGGUUAAUAUUGUCAUCUGCUUUUUAAGUGCGUUUAUCUAGUGUUAGUAAUAUUUUUUCUGGUAAAAAAUGAUACAUCCUUUGAAUCAUUCGAGUUCAUGUUAAAGAAGAAACGUCCCUUGUCUAGGCUUUCUUUGUUAUACUAUUGUCAUCGUUCUUUUAGCCACUUACUCUAGCCCCUUGUGAUUCCAGUGCAGAACACACGAAACAAUCUCACAUGGCUGCAUUUGCAACCGCAGAAGCGUGUGACAGUAACGCAGAACUAAUAUCAAACGGAGACCUACGGGCCCUCCACCCAAUCUUCAAGAUCUAUGGCCAAAGAAGAUGCUUCUCCGGACCAAUCGUGACACUCAAGGUCUUUGAAGACAAUGUCCUAGUCAGAAACCAACUAGAGACAAAAGGAGAAGGUGCAGUCUUAGUUAUAGACGGUGGUGGAAGCAUGAGGUGCGCGCUUGUUGGAGGAAACCUCGGACAGUUAGCUCAGAACAACGGGUGGGUGGGGAUUGUGGUGAAUGGAUGCGUUAGAGAUGUGGAUGAGAUCAAUGACUGCGAUGUUGGGGUUAGGGCAUUGGGUUCUAACCCGUUGAAGUCUAGUAAGAAAGGUCAUGGUGAGAAGAAUGUGCCGGUUAAUAUUGGAGGGACUUUGAUCAGGGAUGGGGAAUGGCUUUAUGCUGAUAGUGAUGGUAUCUUGAUCUCCAAGACCGAACUCUCCGUCUGAGUCAGAGUGUUCAUCUGCUAAAGUGCUAAGAGACUACUGCUGGUUUAUUUCGAACUUAUUUGUAAUAAUCGGUUUGAUAUUCUAAAAAAGAAAACCAUUUUGUGAGAUUUGUGAACUAUAUAAUAAUAAUAACAAAAUUAUUAUUAGUUCUUUUUGAAAUGAGCUACAAUAUUUAUUUAUUUUGCUACUUCUCUGCUUUAUUUAAUUUUAGAAGAUGUGAAUCAUGUGACCGAAAGGGACAAAUGGUUAAGGAAAAGUUGGUAUAACCGUAAAGCUAAUACUAUUAGUUUAAAUAAACACUUGGGUACUAUGAUUAUACCUGAAGUCCCAUCUCCACUGUCCCUCUCUGUGUUCGAGCCACUAGACGGACCCUGCCUUGCCGUCUCCGAGCCAUUAACAUCUCCACAAGCUUCUUCAGUGUUUGUCCAUUGGUCCAAAUUCUUGAAGCUGAAGCACAUGUUCCAAGAUCCACAGAACAUCACCUAUCGUUGGUCUAUCCACACCAUAAUCCGCACAGCAUUUCUCUGCAGUUUCCGCAAACUUCUUCAACGAGCACGGUUUGAUCUGAUCAGCGAUAUUCGGAUAAACCAUUUGAUCUAGCAUUCCCUUCUUUUGCCACUCAAUAGUCCACUCUGCUAAGUUCACUUGCUCUCUUACAAGCAACGGAUCAACAGCUGGUCUAGCGCAGAGAACUUCGAAUCAAACAACUCCAAACGAGUAAACAUCGGACUUAUCAGUGAGUUGUUCAAAAAAAUAAAAAUAAAGACUUGAAUGUAGUAUACAAGUAAAACAGUCUAAAAUAGAUUAGUUAACUAUAUUGCAUAAUAUAACUUUGAUUUGUGCCACCGCACGGGUAAUUUGUUUCGCUUUUAUAAAUAAUUUUUGUUUUGUAUAAAUAAUAUAAUAUAAAUUUAUUGUGGUAACUAAUUAUAUGAUAAUUAUAAUAUGUAAUAUAAUUAUUGUUGUUGAUAAAUGAUUUUGUUUGCAAAUAUUUUGGUUUCAAAAUCUUUUGAUUAAGGGUAUGACUGGUUUUCCCGCUACCACCCGCAAACGCAGCUUUUGCGGUUGGUAGCGGUUGCUGGCGUUUUGCAACAAUCGCUCAAACCGCUCUAAACCGCUCCAAAUCGCUCCAAAUCGCUCUGAACCUCAUAAAUUCAAAAGCUGGUUCCAGCUAGCGUUUGCGGUUGCGGGCGUUUGCGGGAGGAUAAAAAAAAUUAUUUUUUUUCCAAAACAAUAUAAAUACAAAAAUAAAAAAAUUCAAUAAAAAAUUAAAAUGAAAUUAUAAAAAUGCUAAAAUAUAUCAAUUAAUUUUAAUUAAUAUUAUAAAACUUUAAAAUAAAAAUAUUUUCUAUAUUUUUAAAAAAUUUAAACUAUAACUUUCUAAAUAUAAAUUUUAUAUUUAUUAUAAUAUUAUUAUUUUUGAUAUUUUUAUAAUUGUAUAAAAUGUAAAUAUUGUUAAUUUAUUAUUUAACUGCUGUUGUAUUUGGUAGUUAACCAGUCAUAAGUAUCCCGCAAACGCACAAAUUUCUAACCGCAUAACCAGUCGUACAAAUCUCUUAAAACCGCUAGAAACCGCAACCAUCCGCAUCCGCAAACUUCCGCAACCGCAACCGCAACCGCUGCGGUUAAACCAGUCAGGCCCUAAAUAUAUGUAUAUGAAGUAGAAAAAUAUAAGGAUCCAAAAUGCUAUUUAAAUAGUAGUUAUUUAUUUUGAAAGAUAUUUGUUAUUAUAUUUGAAAAUUAUAAAUUAAUUCAUCCGCAAAUGGAAAGUAUUAAAGCGGAAAAUAGAUUUUUGUAUACCGAUAAUCAUUAAAUAAUACUAAUAUUGCUUGCAAGUAAAAUCAUGUAUAUUUUUAAAGAUUUUAUAAAUUGUAGUUUCAAAUUUAAGCUUGAUUGAUCGGCAAGUGCAGAUAUGACUAUGUAUAAUUAGUGAAAAAUAGUUGUUUAUACUUAUAAUCGUUGUGUAUUAAUGUGAUAGUCAAACUAUGAAGGAAGUCUUUUCUAUUGCAAUUGUUAAUAUUACCUUAAAUUUGUAACAUGGAUUUGUCUGGUUGGUAUUGUGUUAACGAAAAAUAUGAACAUUGAACUUUUGAUGUUUGUUUAUAAAUGACAUAAAAACGAUUUUUGAAAAUCCGGUAAUUGCUCUGUUUUUUUUAAGUUCAAGUAGUAAGAAGUGAAGAAUAAAGCAAUGAUGUACUUAUAAAAGGAGGAAGUAUAUAUUACGGAGGCGUUGAGUUGAUAUUUUUGGCGUUGUUUCAGUUUAAAAAAAUUAAUUUCGGAUAGAACAUUUAUUAAUUCGAAAAAGACAAAGAAAACAUAAAUAUAGAUCCAAUUAAUACAUCAAUGACAUAGGAGUGUAAAUAACUUGCAAAAUUAAGGAGUAAUUUAAAUUUGUACUUAGAUUUUUAAUGGAUUAGAUAGAUAUAGAUUUAUCUUCAAUUCUUAGUAAUCUGUAUAAUUCUUUUUAAUGAAUAUACUUACGCAAUAUACUUACACUUUGCGAAACACUUAAAAAAACACUCUCUCUUUUUUUUUGUCAGCGUGAAACACUAUUACAUAUACAAAAAAUACGUGUUUAAUCGAGUCCAAGUGAAAUAACAUUUCAUUUUAACUUUUCUUUUCAAUUCUUCGACUUUGAAAAGAUGUGUGAUUCACGUUAAAAAAAAAGAAAAGAUGUGUGAUAGGAUAUGCAGUAAAAGAAAAGUCGGGGAAGCCCUAAUGGUUUGAUUAAUGGUUCAUUAAUAACUUUAUAUCAGAAUAUUUGGAAUUUAAACCCUAGAAAAUGCAAAUUAUACAGAUCAUGGAGAAAAAAAUUAUAAUAAGUUUUCAGCAUGCUGCAAGGCGUAUCAUCGAACAUGAAUUUUAUAGGGCGGUUCAUAAUAAUGCAGUCAGACAUGCAUUUUUAUAUGAGGGUAGAAUUGUCGGCUGUAAAAAUGUUUAUAUAAUAUUUUUCAUUAUUAUAAUAACAUAAUUAAUCAGACGUUAAAAAAAAUGUGUGAUAAAAUACACAGUAAAAGAAAAGUUGCGCUAAACAUUAAAUAAACUUUUUUUUGAACUUAACAUUAAAUAAUCUUAAUAGGUUUCAUUGAAUUUAAAGAGAUCAAUAAGUCAAAACACAUGCGUAUAAGCAAGAAUUUUUUUCUUUCUUUUCUACAUGAUUAUAUUCUUGCAUAAUUGCAUUAACAAUAUCACUAUGCCAAUCUCGGGUACAUCUUUCAUAUUACUUGUGUAAAUCACUGUAGUGAUUUAUGGUUAUUCUGAAUUAAAUAGACAAGUAUGAAUGAGACCGUACCAUAUACAUGAAUUUGAAUUUAUGAAACAUGGAAAUUUGAAAGGGUGCAUAUCGUGGUGGACCAACCACCUUAAUGGAAUUUGAACAGUUCAAUGAAUUUCAUCUCAAAAUUAAAUUAUUUUCAUACCUAACCAAAAUAGGACCAGAUUUAUUUGUCACGUUAAUCUCGGUUCUCUCAUUUUUUCGACCCACAUACAUCGUACGGAAUAUCGGUGCUCCCCCGUUAACAAAAAUAAAAUUCGGUAUCCCUUUUUUUUUUUUUGAGCAACAAAAUUCGGUAUCCCAAAAGAGCGGUGUAAAGAAAUACUUCACUAUAAGAAAACAGUAUAUUCUCGACUAAAAAAAUAUUUUGAAAUUGUGUAUUCAUGUUCACAAUAAAUAAAAGCAUCAUAUAAAGUUAUACAGACUACACCAUCCCCAAUCACCAUACCAAUUUCAUAAUUUAACGUAUGUGAACAUUUCAUAUUUUCUCUUAUAAACCCUCCUUUGUUUUCUUCCUUUACAUGGUAUAUAUAAUAGUCGGUCCUCAUUUAAAAUAAUAUAUUUAUUUAUAAUAUGUAUCUAUGGAAUCUUAUAAGUUUUAAAUCAAACAUUAUGUUGCCAAAAAAAAAUCAAACAUUAUAUAUGUUAUCAGUAUUUACACAGUCAAUACUUUUUAAUCACAGUACAGUGCAACACAUACAUAUUGAUAUUUUAUCAAAUGCAAUUAUCAAGUUUUUAUAUUUUGGAGGGUACUCUAAACAAAACUAAAUAAAUUCUAUACACCAUAUAUGUUCAUUUUGUUUGAUUUUUUUGAUUAACUUCAUUUUGUUUUGUUGAUUACUUAAAUCUAUUUACUUGUCGACUAGAUUCUGAUCCGCCCUUUUUAAAUGUAGAUAUAUUUUUUGUUUUAUAUUUUUUUAGAAAUUUAAUUUUUAUAUUUGUGUGUGUUUUAGUUGUAUUUGUAUUUUUUUGUUUAAUAUUUUUCUUAAAUGAUUAAUAAUAUAUUUUAAUAAUUGUAUAUCAAUAGAUGAUGUUAUUAUUUUAAUAGAAUAGAUUUAUCAUUCACGAAAUGGCGUGUAGCGAAUAGAACGUAUGGGACCUCCCCUAAUACGUCCAUAGGGCAUGUGGAAUAUGGACUUAUGAGGAAAAUGAUGUUUGACUAAAAUCCUCAUUUGCUUCGCCCUUUACGUUUCCACAAAAUGACACCCCCAAACCUAUUUUAGUUUUGUUGAUUUUACUUAAUUUCUUUAAUAAUGUGAUGAUAAGUUGAUAGCGAUAACUCUGGAUGCUAAUUAGUGCAUCCCAUAACAAAGAACAACUUAUAAUUAAGGUGUAUAUCUCUCUCAUAGUUUAUACCUUAUGGAUCAUGUAAAAGUUCUACUUGUUUUCAAAUUAAGAGCUUGUGUGUUUUUUGUUUUUAUAAAACAAUAUUUUGAUAGAAUCAACACAUAAAUUUAUAUGGCUAUAAAAAAACAUUAUGACAUUUGACUUGGGUAUGUAAACGUGACAAAAAAGUGACAAUUGUCGUCAUGAUUCACUUGCUCAAAGAUCCAGCUAUUCGGGUCACCAGGCAUCCCGAGUCACAAGCCAAGAUCAUGUAAUCUCUAUACUGAAAAUAUGAUGAACAUUCGUUUGUUCUACAUGUAAUUAGGACCGGUUUAUACCUCAAACUGUAAUUAAUUGUUUCAAAUUUCAUGAAUCUUAAACCGGCUCUUCCUGUUAUGUUCUCACCUUGGUAUACUUUCGACUAUACACCUUCCCAUAUCAUUUGCUGGUAAUAUCAAGAAAAACAUAGUCUGAAUGUCAUGUGGAGCCAUCACCCAAUGAUGCAUGUUCAAGAAUCAUCAUUUGUUCAUAAAUUGUUUCGUCAAUUUAAGAAUUUCUUUUAAUCUUUAUAAAUUUUUCUCAAAGACUUGGUCCCAAAACUAAUGCUAGUCAACCCAUAUCUUAGUUAUAAUCUCAUUUGGUUUCUAAUGGUCGAACCAUCGUCUAAAAAAACAUUGGUUUCGCCUAUUCUAUUCAUAAGACAGCGGAAUUUUUGAUAAUUAUUGAAAAGCAAAGUAUUCUUAAUUAUAAGAAAUUUGAUAAAUAUAGAUAUUUUUAUAUCGUAAGUUAAAUUUGAAGAAAACAUUUACAUUUUGUAUAUAAAAAAUGGUAGAUAAACCAGUUACUAAAACACACAAUAAAUAAAAUAUUGGCCUCUAGUGUUUCGUUCAGUUCAGGUUCAGAAGUGGACAAUUUAAAACAUAUAAAAAAUAGUUAGGACCAAUGCUUAUAACGAUUAUAAAAUUCAAAACGGUUUAGGAAUUCACACAGCUCACUUACAGACAGACCAAAGGAAAAGAGACGAGGAAACAAACAAAAAAAUAUUUUCAUUUUUCUACUUUAACGUUUUCAUUUUCUAACUUUAGAUUAUUUUAUUAAAUACUGUGUAUAUUUAUUACUUAGGGAACCUGAUACCACUUUGAUGUGUUAGUGCGUGGUUCUUGUUCAUCUCUCUCUCUAAGAAAAUAUUUUCUUCUGCCAGGAAAACCAUUUUUGAAAUAAUCAAUCCUUUAAAUUCUAAAGGUUCGUGUGUAUUUAGUGUUUUUAAAAUCUCUGAACAACUCUUUCUUCUUCAACUUCUAUGUUUUAUUAUUGUGCCACUGAUUUACUGUUUCUUGUUCUCACUUUCUUUUGCAUCUUUGUUGAUUUUUUUUCAAAGAUCCAAACUUAUAUUCUUGGAACGAUGUAUGCAUGUGUAUGUAUAUAUAGAUCUGUAUAAGUUUUGUAUUGCAUGAUUAACAUUACUUUCUUGACAGUCUGUCCAUAAAGGGUUUGGUUAUGUUUUGUUUCUUGAUUUUUAUCCCCAGAUUUCUUUUUAAAGCUCAUGUUUCUGUGUGUUUCGUCUUCUUCUUUUAUCCACAGGUAGUCUUCAUUCUCUGGAACUGUGUUUUUAAUGGUUUGGUUAUCUUCUUUCUAUGUCUUGUUUUGUUUCUGUCAACAGUUUCUAAGAAGAAAAAAUUCAAUAUCUUUGGUCUAUAAGAUCACCCAGAUGCUUGUUUAAAUUCAUUCAUGGGGUUAUCUACAGUCUGAAUCUGUUCAUCUGUUGUUGUGAUGUCUUGAGUUUCAUGUGAUUCAUUGCAUAAAAUAACACACUCCAAUCAAACUGGAAACUGAUUGUUGUAGGGGAAAUUGAAAAUUUCUAGAUUAAAAAUUCAUUCUUUUAACUGUUCAUGUUUCUUUAGACCCCUCUAGAUAUUUGAAAAUCUCACCCACUAAUCUUAAUUUUAUUCUCUGUUUUCUCUUCUUCACAUGAAAUAAUAAUAGUAUUUUUUUUUUCUAGAAAUAUCUUCUCAACUUUCCUCUUAUGAGGUUUUCUUCAAACUCAAAGAAUAUAUAAAAAAAACAUUCUUUUCAACACUUGCAGGUUUUAUAGCCCCUCAGAAAUUUGACAUUAUAAGUGAUCUGAUGUUAUGAAGAAUAGCAGAGAGGUGAAUAGUAACAGUGGAAGGAUCAAAUGUUCUUCUUAUCCAUCAUUAUCUACUGAUGAAGGAUCUCCAAAUAAUCCAUCAUCUUCUUCCCAUUUCUUGCAUCUCACCAAGCCUAGUGAUGAGUUAGGUCAAUCACAUCUUUCCACUUUCUCCAUCAGGUAAUCUCAUAAGAUUUCUCUUUUUUUCUUUGAUUUGUUUUAUGAAGAAGAAGUCAACAGUUUCCUUCUUCACCAUUGUUUUAGGCAAAGUCAAGUUUUCUUGAUGAGUCUGAUCAUACUAGAUAGAUCUUUUCUUCUCAUCCAUUCAAUAUUCUUAAUGGGUCAGAUUCAUUACAAAUAAAAGAAAAACAAACUUCUUUUCUCUUUCACCUUCUGGGUGUUUGGGGAGCUUAAAUGAUAUUAUUGAGUGUUGACUAUUUCUUUUACUUUUCUUUGAUCCAUUGGUCCAUACCAUGUGAACUUUUGUUAUGUCUUGUCUCUCAGAAGCUUUUCUGAACCUUUGUUUUGUCUGGUUGUUAUGUACUCUACUAAUUGAGACUUUGGUUUUCAUGAUGGUUUUGCAGAGGUUAUGCAUUUAGUAACCGGACCAAAAACAUUCAGAAAAGCUGGCCUUUCUCUUCAACAAGUCUGCAACUUUGUUUAAAACAUGGCUUGAGUGAUCCAUUGCCACCUAUUCAGCCUCUUGGCCCUAUGAUAAGCCAUCCUCCUGAAGCUUCAUCAUCCAACAAGCCAACUUUAACUCAUGUUGAAGCCAUAAGCAGCAAGAGAAAGUUAGGAAGACUUGCUUCCAGUGAUCAUGCAUCAGCAGAGAUUACUAAACAAGGCUUUGAGAAUGGUUCCAAAUCCAAAACACAAGUCACUACAGUUAACAAGACUCCAAGAAAGAAAUGUGGGUUAGUAGUGAAACCUGGAGCUUGUGUGGAUGGUUCAUCAAAAGAAGAUCAGGCUUUGAGAACUUGUCCCAUCUGCAAAACCUUCUCGUCUGCUUCUAACACCACUUUGAAUGCGCAUAUCGAUCAGUGCCUGUCUGUUGACUUGGGAGAGCAGCCAGUUAGUAAGCCAAACAAGCCUAGGAACCACAAGCCGCGGUUGAAGGUUAAAACGAUGGUUGAUAUCUACGCUUCUGCAAAAGGAUGCACACUAGAAGAUCUUGAUAGAAGAAAUGGAACAAAGUGGGCUGUGAUCUCAAGCUACUCUAACCGUGUCAUUGUCUGUGAUAAUAAUAAGUCUGAAGUUUCCAACAAAGAGAAGAAGCUUGAUGAAGAUGGUGAUGCUGGCAUUGGACCUGUUUACAUUGAUGCUAAGGGCCAAAAACUGAGGAUUAUAUCUGAGGUUAAGGAGAAAGCUGCUGAACCAUCAAGAGAGCAUGAGAAGAAAUCAUUUAGUGAAGGUAAACGGAGUUACAAAAGCUGUAAGAAAAGACUAGAAGGCAAUGCGUCAGAGGUAACUUAAUAGUAAUCUAUGCAUACAUUCUUGAUUCUUGAAGUAAGAUAAAGAUUGUUUAAUAAAGUCACUUGUGUAACAGAUACACGAGUCUAGAAGAGGGUGUUCUGAAGAAUGUAGAGGCAUGGAGAGGUUAGAAACUCCAGGGACAAGUCAGCGUAGGAGGAUGCUAAGAAAACAUAGUCUUUCAAGGAAUGAAAGUAAGAAAGGGAGGAGCAUGUGUGAUCAGCCAUCUGAGAAUAUGCAUUCAUUGUCAGAAGAUCCUCUUGUGUUAAAGGGUCCAAGUCUUGUGAGUACUGAUUUAUCCGAGGCGGUUAACAGUCAAAGCUCAUGGAGAAGCUGUGGGGAUAGUCAAAUCUCUGGAAAGAGUACUAACUUUGCAGCUCCUAAACCUGUGGACAAAGGAGUUAUGAAGUUAAAGAAAGCAUGGAGGUUUGAUGUUUCAGAGAAUGAAGAUGAGGAUUCAGGGAGAUGGGAGUCUGAAAUGACUCAAGAACUUGAACUGGCAGAUUAUGAUGACUGGGACGAGGCUGAAGAAACAGAUAAGGGUCUGCCUUCAACUAGGGGUGAAGAUAAUGAUUAUGAAAGUUUGGAAGAGACUGGUAAUAACAAAGGAGACUGUGAUAUGUUGGACACAAUAGAUGCUGAGUUUGAAAGCAUGGUUUUAGAGAAAAAUGGUUUUGAAACUGAAGAAGGAGGAAGCUCAUUCAUGGAGGUUGAUCCCAUUCCUAUUCCAGGGCCUCCUGGAUCAUUUCUAGAGAGUCCUUGGGACAUGGGAACUGAUGCAACUGCAACUGAAAAUCAUGGAAACUUUUUCCAGGUCCAAACAUCCUUUGAUCAGCUUGAUCUCACUGACAGAAACUUGUCUGAAUCACCUGUUUCAGCAGUUUCUAACUUUGCAGCUCCUGAAACACAGACAUUUAGUCUUCAUAACAUCAUCACUACUGACAAUGAUCAGUCAUGUUGUUGCCAGAGAAAGGAGAAUGCUCUUGAAGGUACAACAUUUAGGCAACCACCACCACACAUGAUCCAUCAAGAUCUUUUGAGUAAGUCUGUUCCCCCGGUUCCUUCAAACUCCGGUCCAGUGUUGCGGCUAAUGGGAAAAGAUUUGAUGGUUAUGAACCAAAGAGAAGAGACCUCACAUGGAGAUCCAAGUACAAAACCAACUUCUCAGUUUCAAGAUCUCUCCAAGACACAACAAGCGUCUCCUCGUGCCCAUCUUCAUCCUCCUUAUGGUGGAAACGGUUUGUAUUUGGACGCCACCACAAGCUUUUACAACAUUCCAUGACAAUACCGAUCAACUCCAGCAGUUUCCUAUUCCUGAAAGAUCUUAAAGAAGUUUUCUCCUCAACCAUUCAACCUCAAGAUUUCAUGAUUCUCUAACAAAGAGGCUGAGAAGAAUCUCAAGAGGCUGUUAUGAAGAAAUGGUGAGAUAUAAGUUCGGUUUGAAUCUACCUAUAGAAUAUUGAGAAACGCCACCGAGGUAAAUGUAAGUUAUUAUAAUGUUAUGGAACCGCAUUUUGAAUAAAAAGUAUACAUGACUUUAACCUCAUGAUUCUUUCUUUCUAUAUAGAUAUUUAUAUAUGUGGUUGAAAUCAUGUGAGGUAGUCAAGAUCAUGGUCACCGUCAUGACAUGCAUUAUGUGUACGCAAUUCAUUUUCUUUUGUCUCACGAAUUCCUAAUUAUUUUAGAUAUAACCUGUUGAGUGUAAAUAAUGUCACAUAAAUUAGAUGGGGAUAUAUUUGAUGUAUAGUAUAACAACUAUUAUGAGAGUUGCAUUUCGUGAUGAUGAGCUGUUUUCUUGUUACAAUCAAUUUUAUAUAAAAUAAGGAGAAUAUAUUACUGAAUAAUGGAUCUAUAAAUGUAUAAAGUACAACCACAACGGCUAUAUAUAUUGCAUGCGCAUUUCCAAAAUCAUUUGUUCAUUAUCAUAUGCACUCCAUGUCUUUCUUUUGUUUGACAUGUUAGUUUAGUUGAUGUCCACAUUUACCACAUGUAUGUAUAAUUUAUGUACACAUUUACGAAUACGGAAUAUACAUAAUAUUGCAUAUAAUGGCCGACCUAAUAUUGGAGAUUGCUCAAGGCCUCAAAGAGUUUUAAAGCUAACUUCUAGAGGAUUUUUGUUGACUCUUUACAUUAACAAACUAGAUAUGAGAUGAGAUGGGCACUAUUUUCUAAUCUUGUUUGAAAUCGGGACAACUACCUGAUUGGUGACUUACAGAUUUAUUGCGAAGUAUGAGCACUCUCUUGUGUAGAAUAAUGGUUACAAACAAAUUAAAAUUUUACAGUUUAUUUAAGUUUUUUUUUUUUGUUGAGAGAUCAGACUCUCACAUCAAAAGAGGUAUAUAUGUCCACUCAUACUGAAAGGCAAUGUUGGUCCUAAUCUCUGAAUUGGCCUUUCCUCUUUGGUAAAAACUCUCAAGUUCAAUUAUUCUAUUUUGUGAAAAGCCACUAAGUCCUAAAUUGCUAUAACAUGUUUUGUGAAACAUUUGACCGUUUUGGAAAAAGUUAUUAUCAUGAUUUUUUUAAAUAGAAAGACUAGUUGAAAGUUUUGUCAACAUGUAAAAGCAUUUAUAUUUGACGGAAGAAAAUAAUCUGUCUCUUGUUUGAUAGAUUUUAAUUUUUGUAGUAAGUCCAAAUAUAACGUCAUAUUAGUGCAUGCCUAAACUUGACAAAUUGUACAUUAGUGCAUGCCUUAGGCUGAUUUUAGAUUAGGCGCCGGCAGAUAUUAAUGAAUAUUAAGUUGUUAUCUAACUGAGAGAAAUUCGAUCGAUAUGAGCGAUAGUAUGUAAUAGACUAUAUUUUUGAACAAAUGUAACAAUACAUUUCUAAAACGUGGUCAUUUAAUUAAACAAAAAUAACAACUAACGAAGUAGACAUUGCUUACAGCAUCUAACUGUGUCAACUGUCAAGGGAUUAAUUAGACAAUGUUACGCUAAAAAUUGGAUUAAUUGGACACAAAUUGAUCCUAUUCGUAAUAAUGGAUGACUAACUGUUAUAGGAAAUAGUUAAUCAUUACUCUUGCGAAAUCACAAUAUACAAAUACAAACAAUCAAAUCCAUAAAAUGCAAGGUUUUGAAUUUUGAUAUUUAUCUAGCUUAUUUUGAUAAUCAUCUAGCUUAUUGGAAUAAAUGAUAUGCGUCUCAAUAUGUUUUCAAGAAAAAAAAAAUUGUGCAUAGUUAAUUAUAAAACCAUGUACUUUUUUUGUAUAAACAGAAAAUUCCGAAUGCACCAGUCGUAUGUACAAAAAUAAUAAUAUUUCAUUUUAUAGUUAAUACUCAAUGUUACAAUUGCUAUAAAGAAAAUAGUGCUUUAUUUUUGACAAUAGUGUUAAUCGGAGUGCGUUGGCCUCAACAAAACGGAAGGCGAGAUAUCACGGCGUAUUAUUUUAUUUUCAUUUAUGUGGAUGCUAUUUAAAGCGGGCCUACUUAGCCAGAUAUUUUAUUUUGGCGUGAAGAUCGUAAAUUGAACAACGAAAUGUUGGCUUUGGUCCUCCAUUAGUAUCUUUACACAAUUAGAAAUAAUUAUUGUUCUAAGCAUAUUUAAAAGCACGACUUAAUAAUUAGUACAGGACUUUAGUAUAAUAAUUUGGUGCGCAAUUCGUUGCCAUUAAGUUAACCUUAUAUAUUCGCAUGGCCUUGUGUUGGUACUUAUGUUAAACCAUUAUGUUAGUAAUUGACCGAUUAAUUAAUUUGUGAUAACUUAUAUAUCCGAAUGAAAAAAACAGUAGAAGAAAUAUAAUAAUACUCCUGAGGUGUCCGGAAAUGCCUAAAUCAAACAUUGAGGUGUGACGGGAAGCUGUUACCAUGUGUGGUAUGGAUGUCUUAAAUCCUGGCAUGAUGAUGUUUACAUAUAGGUUUUGAUUCAUAUAUAUGAAGUUUUGCGAUCUUUUCUUUCUAGAUUUCUUACACCGAUGCUUGCUUAAUUACUUUGUCACAUGUGCAUGAGACCGAUGGACUUGUUCCAAACAGAAAACGAAAAUGUAAUUGGUCUUCUUCGUCGCAAUUAAAUAAGUUUUAAAAAAAAAACAUAUUUACAUCGAUGGCACUACAGAAGGCCAUAUUCUGAGAUGUUAUAAUGCGUUUUCGUCCAUGAAUGAAUGUGAUUAUCAAUUCAGUAAAAAAAGAAAAGAAUGUGAUUAUCAAUUCAUACAAUAUGAAGGUACCAUAUGAGCUAGAUACUCCUAUAUAUAUUGAUUAGAACUGAAUUUAAGAGCAACGUCUUCUCGCACACAACGCAGUUCUUUUAUCCAACAUGAACUUCAGCAUAGCUAAAGAAGUAUAUACAUUGAGAUCACGCCAAGCAUAGAUAUGGACAUAGAUAUUUUGAUCAUACAUAUAUAUGGAUUAUGGAUAUAUGUACUGUGACAAGUCAGUCGUAUACGGUAUGGAUGAAAUAAUUUGAAAGAUUGUGCACAUGCAUUUAGCAAAAAAAAAAAAAAAAAAGAUUGCGCACAUGCAUGCAUGCAUGACACUACGAAUUGGUCUAAGUAAUCUCCUUCUGUCCACAUCGUAUCGACAUAUCAACUAUUUUGUAUACAGCACUUUUGCAUUAUUCAUUCUUUUAGUAUAUUAGGCGUUUUCCCCAUGUCUACUUUAGUUUUCGAAUUUAUCAAAAUUCAAAGUUUAUAUGACAGAUCCUUUGAAGAUAAUGUAAAUAACUAAAAUUUCAUAUCCUCCAAAAGUUUACUCGGGUAUUAAAAUAUAAAUAGGGUUAAACAGUUAAAAAAUGGAGAAGAAAAAUAAGGGAAUAAAUCCCAUACAAAAAAGGAGUAAAGUUUAUUUAAUAAGUUCGUAUUAUUUUUUGGUAGGAACAUUGAUACAUCAAUGCAAAAUAUCCCUUACAUUAAUUAAUGUACAUACGCGUGUGGAAGUGGUCUAUAAGUGAGGUAUCUAAGCGCGUGUGGGCGUGCGUUUGUACAUCUUUCGUAAAUAAGAUUUCAUCGACGUACAAAUUGAAUUCGUUUUUGGUUAAAAAGUAAAAAAUGUUUAACAUAAAUAAAAACUAAUAAUUUAAAGAGAGUGGAGGAACAACGGCCCCAAGAUUUUAUUUUAAGAUUGACGUGAUUGCGACGUGUCGCUUGCUUGUCUGCUUAGUGGGUCCACAUCCAUUGCUCCUUGCAAAAUUCAUCUGAACUUUUUUUUUUUGGUAAAAAAAUUCAUCUGAACUUCACUUAUGUUUCUCUUUUGGAUAUUUUUAGUUGGAUCUGUAAUUUAAAUUUAUUUACGUAAGUUCACAUGUUUUUAACAAAUUGGAGAAUGUAUUAUGAAUUUUAUCUAUUUACCGAAGUUCCUCGCUAUAAAUCUAUAGACUUUGGUUAUCGGUAUUAGAAAAUCAUUCAAAUAUUAGAUGAAGUGCCUUGGUAAAGCUCCUUUCACAUGGAAAGCCAACACACUAAAUAUUUAAAAAUUACAUUUCUCAGGAGAAUGCAUAGUAUUUGUUUUAAAUGUAUAGUAAUUUAAUAACUCAAAAUUUAGCUAUACCAAAUCUAUACAACAGAAAAUAAUAAAAUAAAGAUGGUGGAGUGUGAUAAUAAUUGAAGUUACUGUGGACACUUUUAUUUAUUUUUCUCCUCUUGCACUCAUUUUCUUUUAAAAAAAAAUUCGUUUUUCACAUUUAGUGAUAAUACAUAUGUGGACUUUAUAUGGAACACCAAAAAAAUCAUUUUAGUGCUUGGUUCUUCUCUCUUUCUCCAUCUCUUUCAUCAAUGCUAUCUUUCUCUCUCUAAGAAACCAUUUUCUUUGUUUUGCCAAGAAAACCCAUCCAAGGUUUGUAAACUGUUUCUCCAAAAUUUGUUUUCUUGUUCUUUGUCUAAAGUUUGUGAAUCUGGUGUGUCCUUCUUUCUUCAUUUUGAUCUUCUGUUCUUCUAUCCAACUUCAAGAUCCCAAAUCUUGAAAUGUUUUCAGAUGUAUGUGUGUAUAUGAGAUUUAUGAGUAAAGAUUAGAUUUGUUCCUUUUACUUCAACUACUAGAUCUAUUUGUAGUCAUCCUUUUUUCUAGCUGAUCAAGAUUCUUCCCCAUGUCUUGAUUUUCCUUUGAUUUAAUGCCCUCAUAAUCUUUAGUUUCAUGAAGACCAUAUGAAUUCUUAACUUUGAUCUAAUCUUUAUAUAUUUUGGUAGCUUCUUUAUCUUAUGGAUGUCUUACUUCACUUUAUCCUCUUAUGAUACCCUCAACAUACAAUAAGCUCACGAAUUAGAUUGGUAACUGAAACUUUUUUCUGAGAAAUAAAGAAAUCAGGCUCUUUUGCGUGCGAAUAAUUGUUUCUUUUUUUUUUGUGAUUACACUUCAUCAAAUCGUUACAUGUAUACACUUCAAAAUAUACCAACUAAUCCCAACUUAUAUUUUUCACAUGAAAUAACGUUCACUUUUUUUUUGCUCUUCUGGGUUUCUUGGAAUCACAAAUCUCAACAAGUUUCAUAAUCUUAGUUUACGUGUUGUGUGUAGAUCGGACAUAAACUGGAGAUGAUAAAAGAAGAUCUAGUGUUAUGCUGAACUAUUUGGGAAGCGAAGAGGCAGAUAGUAACAGUGGAAGAAUCAAAUGUUCUUGUCCACUGAGAACCCACCACAUGACCCACUUUCAUCUUCUUCUCCUGCUACUUCCAGUUUAUUACAUCUCACCACUUCUUCACAUGAGUUAGGUCAAUCCCAUCUCCAAAACUUCUCCAUCAGGUAAAUUAAAAACUUCUACUUUUUUUUUUAUUCUCUGAAAGUCUUUUUUUGUUUUCUGGGUUUCUUCGCCAAUAUGGUUUUCCCCCAGACAAAAAAAAAGUCUCUUGAUUUCGUGAUGGGUCAGUCUCAAAUGAUCAAAAGUGUUGACCUUUCUUCCUUCUUCCUUAUAGUAACUAAUGGGUCAGUUUUAAAUGAUCAUAAGCUAAAAACUCAUCCUCAUAGCUAGAUCAAAAGUUUUGACCUUUCUUCCUUCUUCCUUAGCUUUUUUGAGACUUGGAAGUAACUAACGUCGUUAUAUAUAUGCUUUGAUGCAUGCAGAGAUUACGCGUAUAGUAACAGAAAGAACAGCAUCAAGAACAGCUGGCCAUUUUCUCCUAAAAGUCUCCAAAUUUGUUCAACUCAUGGCGUAACUGAUCCUUUGCCACCGUUUGAGACAACGGCUAGUUCAUCGUCAGGGAAGCAGAUCGUAUCUCAUGUCCAUAGAGGAACUGGUUUGGCUAAACUUGGGCUAAAAGGAGGUUGUAGCCAAUCAAGGGUCAUCAAGAAUGGUUUUGGUACGAGUACAAGUGUUUCGAAGUCUAAGGUAGAGAUAGUAGUAGCUGGUACAAGUAAUAACAACAAGAACAGUAAAAAGUGUGGACGAGGAGGAGGAGGAAUGGUGAAAUCCAAAGAAGAUACUUGUGGUGGUGGCCUCGUGAUGACGACAACAUGUCCUAUUUGCAAAACCUUCUCAUCAGCUUCCAACACUACUUUGAAUGCUCACAUCGAUCAGUGUCUGUCUGCUGAUUCAGAACUGCCACCUGUUAGUACUUAUAAGCCAAACAAGCAUAGAGUUGAUCAGCGUCUGUCUGUUGAUUCAGCCGUGCCACCUGUUAGUAGUACUAAGCCAAACAAGCCUAGAGUUAAUCAGUGUCUGUCUGUUGAUUUAUCCGUGCCACCGGUUAGCACCAAGCCAAACAAGCCUAGAGCUAAGCCACAGAUGAAAGUUAAAACGAUGGUUGAUAUUUAUGCUUCUGCUAAAAGAUGCACGUUAGAAGAUCUUGACAAGAGAAAUGGAACUACGUGGGUGUCCAUUUUGAGUCACACGAAUCGAGUUGUUGCUGAUAAAGUGUCCAAGAAGCGGAAAGCUUCUCCUGUGGGCGUUGGUCCGGUUUAUAUCGAUGCCAAGGGUCAAAAACUGCGGAUUCUAACAGAGUUCAGCGAGAAGAAGACUUGUACUACUACUACAUUGAGAGAGCAGCAUGAGGGUGGUAGUAGUGAAAAGAAGAGUUCAAGCCAAGGUAGUAAAGAAAACAGUAAAAGCUUGAGGAAGAGACGUCUGGGAAAGAAACAUUACAAGUAUCUUAAACUAACCAAUCUCAAAGCCAAUAAUACAUCAGAGGUAAUAAAUAAUAACAUUAGUUUCUGUAUCUUUUGUUUUUGUAGUGAGGUUCAUGAAAUAACAGUACACUACUUUGUACAGCAGGUACCAGAUUAUCAAAGAGUGUUUUGCGGAGAAGGUAGCAGCAAGGGUCAUCGUAGAAUCUAUAACCAGCGGAUGUUAUCAAAACCUGGUCUGGUUUCAAAGAGGCUAAAUGAGAAAGGACAUAAACUUUAUGAUUUGCGGGAUCAGCCAUCUGAGGAUGAUGAUGAUUCAUGGUCAGGAGGAGAGCGUCUUGUGUUGAGAGGUACUGAUUCAUCCCCUUUGAAGAAACAGAAGGAAGUCUCUGGAAGGAAUAAGGCUAUGUUUGGGAGUAAAGGAGCUCAAAGUCGUUCAUUUAGAGUUCAGAUGAGUGAAAAGGAGGAGGCAUCACUUGCAGUAGCUCAUUUAGACACCCUCCAAGUCAAGAAGAGACUUGCUUCGAUUCAAGAAAAUAAGUAUCCACUUGGAAAGAAUGUCAGCGAGGUUUCUCCUCGUGCAACUAGCAUGAGAAAGGUGUCCCCACAAUUCGUAGCAAAUGGCUGGAGACGACUAUCUCUGCCUGUGGAGCUAAAGAAAGCUCGGCUGGAUUCGUCUGAGGAAGAAGAAGCUGGAAAAUGGGAAUCUGAAAUGACACAAGAACGUGAACUCUCAGAUGAUGAUUAUGUUUCUGGUUAUGAUGAUACUCCUUCAUUUGAUGAUGAUGAUGACGAAGAAAGUAGUGAUGAGGAGGAUGAAGAUAAUAGCAACAACAACAACAGUAGAGCCAAUGUGUUGGACAAAAGCAAUGAUGCUACACCUAGCGAGAGAGCAAUGUAUUAUUACUCUGAAGAAGUUGAGGAAAUGAUUUAUAGGCAAACCACUUGUGAUGAAGAUGUGAGGUUUGAAUCUGAGGUGAGAGGAAAAGGAAGCUUAUUUGUAGAGGUUGAUACCAUUCCCAUUCCAGGACCUCCUGGCUCAUUUCUACCUAGUCCCAGGGACAUGUGUUACGAUGAGAAUCUUGGAAACUCGUCUGUUAUCACAAGCCAGUUCCAUUCUUUCGACAGAAACUCAUCUGAAUCACCUGUUUCUGCUGUUUCAAACGUUGCAGCUGGUAAGUUGAGUUUCCCUGUGGAGUUAUCUUCUUCCUACACGACAACACCGAUGAGCUUUUGUGUUCCAUCUCAUCAUGAGACAAUCACCGAGGCUGAGCUGAUGACUGUUGGCAAGACAGAACCACCUCCAAGACUUAGAAGCAACGAUCAUGAGUCUUGUUGUUGUUGCCAGAGAAAAGAGAGAAUCUCUGAGGGGAUUGCUUUGAAGCAUCAAACAUCUCAUCUACUGCAGAGAAGAGGUGCUUCUUAUUCGUCACAUUUGGAUACAACAAAUCAUCCGUUUGAGGAGUCACCGUACAUGAUCCAGCAAGACUUAGAACUUCAGAGUAAAUUCUCCAGCAGAGCUGUUGUUGUGCCUCCAAGUCCUAACCCGGUUUUGCGGUUGAUGGGAAAAGACCUGAUGGUCAUGAACCAAGGAGAAGCAGACAAGGUAGAAGCAUCUCGGGAUAGCUUAAAACCACCCACUCAGUUUCUUGAUUCUCUUCAUUGCCCAGCUGGAACCGGCUUAUACUUCAACACAGGUCUCUAUUUAAGAAACAGUUUCGAGUCAACACAUCAUCAACCACAGACACCACAAGCACAAGCACAGACACAAACACAAGCUUCACCAGUCCGACACAGUUUUGAUGAUCAUGUAAGGUACUUUUCUCCGAGCUAGUCAAUCCAAUGUAAGAGUUUCGGCCUUUGUGUCUGUCCCUUUGUGUAGUUAUGGACCUUACGGUUUACAUUAAGAAAAGCAGACACUUGAAAAGAACAAACACUCACUCUGUAGAAGAUAAAAAGUAACUUUAAGCUUUGAGAAGCUCAACAAGUAAACUUGUAAGUUUAUAUAUAAGGUUUGGCCAUUGUGGUAAGAACAACAUGAUUCUUCCACAAACUUUGACUGUGAAUUCAGAUUUCUUUUUCAAAUAUAGAGGGGAAAAGAAGAUAAAACUAAUUUAAAUAUAAUUAAGUAAAGCUCUUAUCAAAGGCUCCUUGAGCAAAAAAAAAAACAAUACAAAGUAUUCACUUUAGUUUCGGGUUUAGAUAAGUUUCGAGCAAAAACACAGUUGAAUCUGUAUCAAGAUCUAGAUAACUUUACGCUUUCAUAACAGAUAAAAGUUCAGUCUUUCAUGAGCUCAUUGAGAGAUAAAUUGCCUUGCAUCUGCAGUUUUCGGAUCUCGUUUGCAAUCUGAAUACAGUGAGCUGCAACAACAAAAAACAAAAGAAUGCAUGCGACAAAAAAAAGUGUGUCAAGUUUUAAAAUCAAGAAGAAUGAAUCUAAGAAAUCAAGAGCACGUACGAAGUAUCAUAGUAGAAAAAUUAUUCUUGAAGAAGAGAAGGCAUUGGCUGAGAAUGAACCUCAUAUGACGCUGUCAAGCCUUGAAGAAGCAAAAACCAAAGCUGAGAAUCUAAAGAAUCAAGCUCAUGAUAUACAAAAAACCAUUGUGUAGAGAUCACAGAGAUCCAAGAAGUGAAAGGUUUCAAGAAGAGUGUUUAAAACCACUUCAUGUCUUCUUCUACAGUUAGGCUUGAUGUUUAUGCUGUUCAAUUUUCAGUUAAUUGCCAGUGGAAUAGAUUGUUGUACCCACAUGAAUUUUGUUCUUUAGUGUGAUAUUGCAAUUAAACGCAACGAGUUAUACGGUUAAUCAUCCAUUAUUCACAAAAUAAAAGAAACAUCUGAUUACACACUAUUUAUGGAGAGACUAUCUGUUUGAAAAGAAGAAAAAUAAGAAAGAUGAGUAACAUAGUUUACUUCUUGGAACUUUGGUCAAAAAGACUCCACCAAAUUACAUUAAAAACCAAACACCAAGAAACUAAAAUUAGAACCAAAAACCAAAAGUAUUUUUAAAAUUUUCCUCUAUACCAUAUAUACGUUUUCUUAGAAUCCUUAUCCUUCGUUAGGUGGCAACUCAUUCAAGUCAAACUCAAAUUUCUUCACUUCUUGCACUGUCUCUGUUACUUGACUAGAAGAAGCUGCUGCCGGAGCGGUUGGAGCAGCGGUUACAGCCUCACUAGAAACUGGUCCAGUCCAAUGGCGUCUCUUAUGACCUCCAAGAGCUUGACCUGUUGGGAAACUUUUGUGACAAAUGUCACAAACGUGAUCUCCAUUAUUACCACUGCUUAAAGAUGUGUUUGAUGCUUGAGCACUAGCUAAACCAGUUAUCAUGGCUUCGGUUCCAAGUAAUAAAGCUUCACUGUUUGCCCUAGCUUGAUGACUCUCCAAAACUUUGACCUUGUUGUGACUUGCUCUAUGACCUCCUAAAGCUUGAUAAGAAGUAAACGACUUGUUGCAAGUCACACACACGUGCUUCUCACGUGCACCACCACCUUCCUCAGCUGCAGCAGCAACAUCCCCAAGCUGAUGAUGAUGAUCAUGAGUAGAUGAUGAUGAUGAUACCUUCUCUAUCUCAGAUAAUCUUCUCUUCUUCUUCUUCAUAUCUUCGGCAGAGUGUGAAUCAGAAGUCUCAGCAACAUCGAGAUUAACAGCUUCCGCAGUAGUAGCUAAGAGCAUUAGAUCCUUAGCAUCAAUGUUAUCAUAACCAUCAUCAUCAUCAUCAUCAUCAUCAUGAUCCGAGCUUGUAAACUCACCAACAUGAUGAUCAUCAAUAGAGAGUGUAGAAGAGGAUGAAUUACCAAGUGGAUGAGGAGGAGGAGGAGGAGGCAAAACUCCUUUCCAUGUUCUGUGUGGAUGAAACCUCAUGUGUCCAUAUAAAGCCUUCCUUGAUGUAAACUUCUUAUGGCAAACACUACAAUCAAUUUCGGAUUCACCAGACUUGUUCUGAUUUUCGAGCACAUGAAUUCUUUUAUGACCUCCUAAAGCCUUACCAGACAUAAACUGUUUACCACAUUCAGAACACAUAUGCUUCUUCUCUUCUUCUUCUUCCACAUCUCCUUCUAGAUCUAUACUGUUAGCUCUAUCAUCAUUAUCUUCUUCCCUUAGACUGAUACUUUUAGGUUCUUUCUCAUCAUCUUCAGCUUGAUCUUUUUCUAUGUCUUUUCUCUUUUCAACUAUGAAUCCAAGUGAGGAUCCACAGUCGUCUUUGUAACACUGUUCCAUUGCUUUCGAAGCUUGAACCCACCCAAAAAAACUAAGCUCAGAAUCUCUCGCAGCUCUCUUAAACUCCACAAGUCGGAUGUGAUUGCAAAAACGCUUGGGACCAAUAAAGUAAAUAUUUAACCCUAAUAUUUGAAGACGGGUGUACUAAUUAGAAUUUAAAGAGAUAAGUAGUGAAAAUACUGAAAACUUUUUUUAUGUAUUUUCUUAUCUCUUGAUACCUUUGAAUCACAGUCAAAGAUUUUCUUUUGAUGCAAGGAUAUCUCAAAUUAAAAAUAAAACCAAAUAAAUGAAAAUCCAAAUAAAGACUUGAUUUAGGGUUGUUAUUGCCUUAUUGGUAGUGAUGAUAGCUGGCUCAAAAUUGUUGUAUUGGCUUAGAGGUAUUGCAUGUUUGCCAGGACUAGUAGGUGCAGUGUGUAGUGUCCAUUAUUUAUUGUCCUCCCUUUUUAACAUUAAAAGGUUAUAUUAAUUUAAGUGUCCAACGGGAUAAGAUGAUUACAAACAGAAAUAUAUUCGACGAUAAUACAAUAAGCGAUGAAAACUAAACCAUAAUGAAAACUUAAGAUAGGAGUGGCCAAUCCGUAGAGAAGCUUCAUUUGUAAUCCUAAAGCUUGCGUUCGAAGGAACACAAAGAAGUCAGAUUCAAAACCGAAGUUGAAGAAUCUAUCCAAUGGGUUUUACGGCAGUUGAAAACCGUCUCUAAAUAUAUCAAGAUCGCUAGAGAGAGAGGAGUUGAAUGAUCCUCCAUUAAAAUUCUUUGGUGUAAAAAAGUAAAGCCGAUAAUGCGGGUUCUAAAGAACUCACUGGAGGGGACAAUAGAAAACCAUUUUGAAUAAGUAAGUCUUAAUCUUUACGUCUACAUAUUGUAUUUGCAAUAGCUUGUUGAGACCCCUUGGUGAUUCAUAUAUAUACUAAUCUUUUCACUAUCUCUCCAUCCAGUAUUUACUUCAUUGGUCGAUUUAUAUAGAAGAAGAUACAAUGAGACACACAAAAGUCAUAUGAAUUUUCAAUUAGAAGGUUUUGAAGUUUCCUAAGAUCAAAAGAAUGAUACAAAUAAAACAAUACGUGGGCACACAAACACUCCCUUCCCUCAGGUUGUUACCGGUACAUUGCAUAUAUCUGGCUUACUUCGCCUCAUAACAAUUUAACAAAAACCAACAAAGCUGCAAAAAUGGUCAGCCAAAGAGGAGUAGAAGCGGUGUUGACGGCUGCGUUUACGUCUGCCGCUGAAGCAGGAGACAUAGCGGGGCACUCUAGACCUUCUUUACCUCCUUUGCACUGGUUAGCGAAAAGUCCAGGCGGGUAUUGCCCAUAGAGAUUGAUGUAACUGAACAUAGUGGUAGCACAAUCGUUACUCAGGUCGUUGAGCUGUUCGGUGUAAGGACACGCAAAGUCCAAAAACGCGGAGCAGCAUUCCUUUACUGGGAAUUUGGGACCUUUGCACUGGCUUGUUAUGAUUGUAUAGUUCAUAAACUCAAAGUUCACUGGACAUGCUGUUACCAUGAGAAAAAGAGAAACCAUGUCAAAAAUAAAACAGAACAUUCUUCUCAAAAAAUCGGUUGCAUCUCCACAGAAAAUGCGUAAAGGAGUCAUUAGGGAAUCUUGAUUAGAUGUUUGUAUGUAAAAUGAUUUUAGACUAAUGCCAUGAUCCAGAGACAAACAAAGUUUUGAAGAUCAAUACAAAAAUUUGUAGAGGUUUGAAGCAUUUAUUAAGCCAAACUAUACAGAUAUGACCAAAAAGCAAAUAAUUUGGUAAGCAAACAGAAAUUUAAAAAAAAAAAAAAUCAAGAUUGUAAGUUAUAACUCAAAGAUUUGGGCAAUGAAACUGUAUAGUUUAGGAUCCAUAUAGAAGCAGGAAACGUUACUAGAUACAUCAGGAUUCGUUUGUAUAUUAUUGUAAUAUGGAAGUCUUACUAAGAUCUCAUCUUACUUCAAAUAGAAUCAAUUUAUAAAGGAUCAAAAAGAGUAAUAAAUUGAGGAAAGAGAGAUUUAAAAGAGAACUUACUUUUCUUGGUCUGAAGUAGGUUUCUUCCGGUAACCAAAGCCUGAGAUCCGAACACACCAUCUGCAAUAAAAAGACAAGAAAGUUACCAAAUUAAAUAUUUUCUUCCUAGAGAUUUGAACAUUCGAACAGAUUGAGGAAAUAAAUCUUUUUUAAAAAAUAAAAUAAAAAAUGUACCUGAGAUGAAACUGGAGGAUGAGAAAGAAGGAAAUAUUGUGAGUAAAAGACAGAAGAAAAGAGCUCCAGAGACGAACUUGAGAGACAUGAUUCUUUGGAGUUGCACAAGUAACGAAGAGAUCUGAUAAGAAACAGAAAGACGACUUGGUGGAAGACGAGAUAUGCCGCACCACGAAGAUUGAGAGAGACUGAAAACUAAAACAUUAAAAUAAAUAAAUAUAAAGAGUCUCAAAUAUAAAAAGAGAGAGAGGUGGAUGAGAUAUUAAAUUAUUUAUUUUGUUGACAUUAGAUUACAGGCUUUACUUUACAGCCUAGAAGAACGCGGAAACUAUUUGAGUGUCUGUCUCAUUCUUCAACGUCACGUUCCUAACCGGUGACGUUAAGCGUAUGUAUGUUGUAUAUACGUUUUCUCAUUAAUUCGUAAAUUAUUAUUACAUGACUUAACAGAUUGGGGAGCUAUGCAAGUAAGAUUAUUUGUAAAUGCAAUUAGGUGAGCAAGUUGGCCACUUACUCAACAGUGUUUGAGCUAAUGUAUUCACUCUUUAUCCAUCCACAUCUUUCACAUACCUCAUGCAACACAUGCAAUAAUAUAUUUCUACAUAGCCAUCAUAAACUGAGGUUUUUCAGCUACAAACUUAAAUGUUUAUAUUACUUCCCGCACACGGAAUGUUUUAAAAGAAUUGUUUACAAGAAGUUAUAGGAAGAAAAAAUUCCCAAAUAUCUGUGUGUAGAAUUUUUUUCAUUCUCUCAGUUCUGUAAAUAAAUAUAGUAACAAUAUGUCUCCAUACGGUUAUGUCCCAAAGCUUCAGAUGCAGCAUCGCUUUCUUUGCUGCAAGACAUAAAAGAACAGAGUCUCAACUACAAAUGAACUUGAACAUGAAAAAAAAAAAAAAAUUCAGUAAUUAUAUCAGAUUUUAACUCCUGUAACCAAAAACACAAGAACAUACAAUCACACAAAUAUGAUCAGAUGUUGGAUAUCUUUUUUUAAAAGAUCAAAUAUGAUCAGAUGGUGCAAAAUUUUAUGCUUAAAAAGAAGGAGAGAAAAAGAAACAUUGAGUGAGCUUACUUCUUCGUAAUGAGAGUCAAGCUGUUCUGUGAUCUGAAGCUGUUUUGCUAACGUUAAAUGUAAUACCUGAAACACAUACAACGUAGAUAUGUGUUUAUAUGAUAAAAGCAUUAAACCUUAAUAAUAGUUACAAGGUCAAUAUCAAGAAGUGUACGUACUGAUUGGGUUUUGUCGAGAUCAAGUUCUAGAGACUUGAUUCUCUCGAGAGUUCCAGUUAAUAGCUUCUCAUUUUCGUCCGGGGUCUUUACAGGGAUUCUACUAAUCUCUGUGCAUUCUUUCUCCAGCUUCUUAAGACGAUCCAAACACUGAAGAACAAUCUCUUUGUUUAUGGAUGAAUCUGAGACAUGGACACGGUUAUGUCUUUGCCAGUAUCCGAACAAUAAGAAACUAAAGAGAUCAAAAUAUAGCUUUAGUGGAAAGGCUAUUAGUAUUGUCACCAAGUGAACGAUGUUCACGCCUUUGGUUUUCUCUCUAAGAACACCAAACCGUGAUAUCUGACCACCAUAAAAUGUGACAAUGAUACAUUUGAACAUGCAGUUGCGUAACACAACACUAACGAGACAAAAUAUGAGUGAAAAAGAAACACACCUUCUCUUCUUGAUGUAUUUGUUGAACAAGAGUUUUCAGAGCUCGUGUUAAGUAAUUGGAGUUGAGACCAUUCUCCUUGAGCCGGUUCCUGUGAAUCAUGAUCUCUUACAUGAAGAGGAGCUUUUGUAGUUUGUGGUAUGGGAUUCACUUCCAUGUGAUGUACUAGCUGCAAAACAAGACAAGAUUAUAUCAUAGCUCGACUUAUUAUGACAACUUCAUGAAUCUAAUAAACAAAAAAAAAGACAAACAAGAAUUAGAUGCCUCGGCUAUUUCAGGAUCAUUCCAUGGUCCUUUGUUAGACCUCAAGCACCCUCCUUCGUUAGCACAUGUGCAUACGCCUCCCAAGAAAUCUGGAAGUUGACUGCAUUCCAGAGUAAAUUAUAAUGUUAGUGUAGUAACCAAAACUUGAAUGACAUUUCUCUAUAAAGACAACACUUAAGAAGUGACCCAAAAAAAAAAAAAGAAUUAACCUCGAAUCAAUUGUUUCAAGUAACUUUGACAAGGACUUUGGCUCCAAAACCUGAGUAACACAAGCAAUAAAUUAGUAGCUGUUGACAAUAAAUAGAAGAAUAAACGAUAAUACAUUACUUGUAUCUUUGCAAUAGUCACAGGAUCAAGAAAUUUCUGUGCGGCAGGCCAAAUCAAACUCCUGAAUCCAAAUCCUGCAUUGACAAUGAACAUCCUAUGCAAAGUCUGCAAGAGUCAGAGAACCACGGUCACAAAUUUUUACACCAACCGAAACACCCAUGUCCACUCGGCUCAUUGGCCUUAGACUAGUUACCGAAAGUGUAAUCUUCAAAGAGUUAAGUACCUCAGGGUAAUAACUACAAUCUACUUUAGCAAUAGAGGACAGGAGAUUUGCCGCUGCAGGACUAAAGUUCUUCAUACCCUGAGAGUUACCACAAGAGAGAUGUUAAUAAAUCAAGAAAAAAAAAACAUUUCAUGACACUUUUUAAGAGAAUCUAUAUAGGAGUUUACAUACCAGGCCAUCAGCAUCAAGUAUUGUAGUCGUAGUAGUGACACGUCGCUUUGCAGCGAUGGAACAGGCAGGGAGCUUCUGUUGAAGAGCCUUUUCGAAUUCUUGGACAUGGUACUUCAAGUACCGGUCAAUGGUUGUAACAUCCAUAAGCUUACCGGGGUGAGCUUUUCCUAGUCUCUCGAUAUAGAUAGGUCUACCAUCUUUAUCAACUCCAUGGUACCCUUGAGGAUAGUACAUUGUGACUUGGUCCAACUCAUUGAAAUUGAAAUCCUGUUUUGAGCAAGCAAGAAAGCCAAAAAAAUUUAUUAACUUUCUUUAACAAUAUAGGACCAUAUAAUAUCCCCUUUACUUUACCUGUAUAAUAUGAUCUGCUCCAAAUUCAUUCCUCCAUUUGAGCAUUUCUUCCCAUGCAGUGACGGUUUUGUCGAUGUUGAAAUCCAUUGUUUUCAGAAACCUAGCUAGUGUAAACAAAGAUAUUAGAGACACAGCAUCAAAGACAAAAAACAAAAAAAAUUCACUACUAGUUUACCUCAAAAGCAUAUGAUAAUCAUCAUGCCUUGGAGGCAAAGAAUGUUUGUUAAGAAGCUCUUGGCGCAAUUUAAGAACAAUCUUCUCAUCAUUCUCGUCCCUAACAUCUUCAAUGGAACAGCUUAUGACUUUCUUUGCCGGACUCCCAAUUCUAGAUCGUUCAUCCUCUGAAUCUGAUAACUUGUCUAUUGUAUGUCCACAACCUCCUGCAAUAUUAUAUGUACAUAGUGCAAAAAUGAUGACCAUAAAGUUUCCGAUGAUCAUAUUAUUUUCAUUAAAAGCUCAAAUGAAUACCUGACAUGUUUAGAAUCCGUCAAAAACGUCUUGAUACGCUAUUGAAUUCGGCUGUGCCACCGAACUAAAAAGCAAAGAAACAAAUAAUCCUCCGUCUCCGAGAAAUGUAAAUUCCUCGGAAAGGAGCAACAGAGUCCAAGUCGUAAAAUGAAUCCCUACAAAACACUAAACGGUUCCUUUUUAAUUCAGUGUUAACCCUAAAUAGUCGAACUAUCGACACAUUUUUAUUUUAAAAUUAGUAACAAAAUGUGUAACAUAGAUCAUUGCUGAUACCUCUACCCUUCAAAAUAAGAAGUGAAAAAAUAGACGAAGAAGGAACGGUUAUACCACUAAUUAUUAUAACCAACAGAUCUGACUAAGAAUGGAACAAAAUAAAAACUCACAACACUAUGAGGGACAUUGAAGGGAGACAUAGAGCCAGGGAGAGUUGUGGUGGGCAUGGCCAUAAUGGAGCAGAUGUCGUCGUCGGGACUAGACCACCGAGAUGAAGAUGGAGCAGUGAGGCAAAACCGGAAGGAAGAGUGAUUUAGACAAGGAGGGAGGUAAUGGUAAUGAAGUAGGUUAAUAGAAGAAGAAUGGGACAUAUUGAGGUAUAGAUUGGCUUAGGCUUCAAGAUGAAGAAGAGAGCGACUGAUUGUGAGGGUUUGGUGAAGGAAGACGAGAAGCAGUUUUCGUAGCUGAUGCUCUUAACCGUCCUUGAGAGAGAGUGGUGGGUAGUGGGUUUUUAAUUUUUAAUAAUAAUUUCAUUAUUAUAAAAUAUUUCAUAUUUGGGUUUCUGCUAUGAUUUGUUGUUGUUUGAGUACAAGGGAGAUUAUGAUUUUGGCUCACUAAUCAUUACGUAACAAUUUUCAUAUCUAGUUGUAGGAUUAAUGUGUAAGCAAAAAUAAUAUUUUAAAUGGAUAAUCAUUUAACCUUUACAUACUUUUUUUUUGUUAUAAACAAAAAACAAUCAAUACAUUCUGAGCUCUAUGGUGUCUUUUCUGACAUCCUCCUUUUAUCUUUAGAAUUUGUUGCUGUCUCUUUUCGUUGGAUCCCUCGGGACAAAAACAGAAUCGCAGAUAGCCUAGCAAAGCAAGCUCUGGCCUCAGAGGCUUUUGUAAUGAACUCAAGUUUAAAAUGCAAGUUUGUGUUACAAAAAAAAAAAAAAACAUUCUGAUCUACCUUGUUCUUAAAUAAAUGCUUCUCCACACUGUAUAGUACCAGAGUAAUAAUGAUAAUUUGUAUCAAAUGAUAUCAUCUCAUUUGGAAAAAUGAAAUGCUAUGUGAUGAAAGGAAACAAAAUGUGAACAAAAAAAAAGGAAAACAAAUUACCAUUGUUAUUAACUUUUAAGCCAAGAAAGUAAUGGAAGUUCUUGAAGGUUUUUCAUUGGUUCUUCUAUGUACUUCUACAUUUUUACUUGGUGUAUAAAACAGAAUUGAUAGCAACCCGAUGAUGAUCUACGUUAAAUCUAUAAAACAAAAGAAAGAUGUACAACAUGAAGAAUUACAGGUAAGAAAAUCUUGAACUCUGGUGAUGGAACUACCUAUGAACAGUGUACCGUGUUAUGAUCUUCUGCAAUAAUUGUGUAUUGUUUUUUCUUGUAAAACCUUUGUGGCUUCUCUAUGUUCACUAUUGAUCCGUCCAAUAUAGUUUUGCAUGCAUAGAAGGAGCUUAAAGCUACUUCUUUUGGAAAGUUACCAUACAAAAGAACGCUGCACAGCGGCUCAAGAUGCCGGUUAAUGUCAGGAAGAUGAGGCAACGAGGGAAGUGCUUGAUGUUGUAGCCAUUCUCCAUCAGUGAUCCACAGCGAGUGAUAAGCCAGACUCCUUUAUAUCUGAAAUAUUAUAUGGAAUAGUAAACAACAUGCAGAGAUGUAAUAGGGAGAGAUUAAGUUUGCAAACCUUUGAGCGUUUGAUACCACAAAUGCUUCAAGAGCCCAUCUCGUGUAGCACAACUCUGAGAUUGACUCUACAAUUUUGUUAUCGUUUGUACUGGUGGCUAUUAGAGUCAGAACCACAGGAAGCAACACUGACCACUGCACAAAGACUAAUAAUGUGAAACAAAGCUUUCUAGAUUUGAGUCUUUAGUAUUGGGCACUUACCAGUUGAGCAGGACCAGGUUCAAAAAGUAUGGCCAGGGCAUAAGCUAUGCCAGUUACACAGUAGACAAGACAGAUUAGGACAAUGUAGUUGUCUCCAACGGACGAUCUUGGAUUGUUGAAGAAGUAGAACAUGGAGAGAUAAACGAGAGGCUUGACAAUGGUAUUGAAGUGAUCAACUGUGUCUUUUGCUAGGAAGUAAGCUAGGCUGCUCAUUCCUGCUCGGCUUUCUCUCCAGUAGUGUAGUUUAUCAAGAGAGAAAGAUCUCAAUGCAGUAAUCUUACAUAAGAGAGCUGAAGAGAAAAAAAAAUGAUAACAAGGGUUAGAAAAAAUAAGCAAUGUUUGUGGUCAGAAGAGCUUGUAAAGUGUCUACUUACAGACAGCAAUGACUGUAUAUGUAUACCCCAUGGCACCAAAAGUUUCAUCACUCACUUUAGCAAGUGUUCCUAAGCAGAUACCCGCAAGCAAAAGUAUUAGGUAAUCUACAGCUAGUGUCCUUGCUUCUCGCAGUCUCUGUUUACCUAACCUGCAAUGCAAGGAAACUGGGUUUAAGAAAGGAUUCUAUGUCAACUGAUUGAUAUUAAUUUAGUAUCUGUACCCCUGCGGAAUCGAACCGAACUGAACCAACCCAACCGACAUUUUUCGGUUUUCGAAUCAUUUCCGGUUUUGAAAUCGGUUCUGUUUGAAAAACUUUUGAAAGUGAUUUUCAGUUCGGUUUGGUUCUCGGUUAGUUCGGUUUUCCAAAAAAAAAAACAAAUUAACCAAAUUAUCUGAAUAUAACCGAAUUAACUGAACUGAACUAACCGAAAUAACUGAAGUUAACCAAAUAUACCUGAAUUAGCCAACAUUAUCUGAGGUGUUAAGAAGUUUAAACCGGAAUCUAACCGAAACAAAAUUUGAUUAUUCUUGGUAAAAUUUUGAAAACCAAAAUUAAGCAAAAAACAAACCGAACCGAAUUUUCCGGUAAGAUUGUGCCUGAACAGAAGUAAUCGAAACUGAAAAUACCCGACUCGAAUAAACCGAAAAAAACGAGGUUGCAGGGCUAAGUAUUUGAGGGGUUUACCUUCCUAAGAAGUAUCUGAACUGCUGAUACACACCAGGAACUUGUCUUUGAGACAAGUCACCAGAAUUACUGAAGUUGUUCUGCAAGGUAUCUUUCUUGAUUUCAACAUUUGCCUUGACAUCUUGCCAGAACUCUCCAGCGAAAGAUGUUCCAUCAUCUCCCACAACGCUCCCGUGAGCACUUCCACCAUGAGCAGAGUUCUCAGCAGAAGCCAUCCCUUCAAUGCUUUUGAGCAUGUCCGAAGGAACUGGAUACCCAUUAUGAAGCAUCCAUCUAACCGGAAGCUGCUUAUAGGUAACCCCUGAGCUUGUGCUUGGCUUCAGUAUCCCUUCCAAUAUAUCAAUGUAGUAAUCAGGAGGAUUCACACGCUCAGGGACAACUAUCCCAAGGCUUGAAAAGUAUUCUUCAACUUUCUUGACUGAUCCUUGGUAACAUAUUAAUCCACCUUUUGCCAAAAGUAUUAGAUCAUCAAACAUCCUAAAGAGAGUGUAGCUGAAGAGAAAACAAAAGAUAAAAAUAAGAACAAGAUCUAAUCUUCUAAGUAACAAAUGGGAUGAGUGUAUUAUGUUGAACCUUGGCUGGUGAACAACCAUACAGAUAUUCACUCCUUCAAGAGCUUCACGGCGCAAAGCUCUAAGAAGUAACUGAGAAGAUGAACUGUCAAGACCUGAAGUUGGUUCAUCUAAUAUCAGAAGUGAUGGUUCCAUCACCAUUUCAAGACCAACAUUGACUCUUUUCCUCUGACCUCCAGAGAUUCCUCUCUUUUCCACAGUACCAACCAUAGAGUCUCUGACAUGUUGCAGACCUAGUGACUCUAUGACUCUUUCCACAACUAAAACCUUUUCAGGCUUAGGGAGAUCCGCAGGGAGCCUGUAUAUAUAGUUUCAUAAGCUAUGUCUAAAAGAUGAAUUUCAUCAAUGAAAAUGUGGCUUACCUGCAUCUUGCACUGAACCAGAGAUUCUCCUCCACUGUCAAGUUCCCAUGGACUAUGUCAUCUUGAGGCACAAAGCCAAUGAUUCUCUUGUAAGAUUGAAUUGAUUCAACUUUGCCGUUUACUAGAAUCAUCCCAGUCAUGGUGCAACCUGCUGCUUUGCCUGUCAAAGCUGUUAGGAAAGUGGUCUUCCCGGCUCCUGAAGGACCCAUCACAGCUGAAACACGUCCAGGUGAUAGCUUCCCAGUCACACAUCUCAUGAGAUGUUUGUUUUUACCUUUCAGAGUAAUAGUAAGAUCUUUGAAUGCAACUUCAAUGGUUGGUCUCUUUCUUAUCUCAAUGUCAUUAGCCAUAGAGAUGACUCCAGAGAAUGUCAAGUUCUUGUUCUGCUCCUGCAUAGCCUUCUCCUUUUCAAUCUGUCCAUAAGCAUACCUAAACAUCUGGCUCUGCGUAUGCAGUGACUUGCCUUUCGGAGCAUGUUUUUUAAUGUUUUUAUCACCAAUCUCGAGUUUAAAACCUUCAGUGUCUCCAGGGUUUUGUUCAAUGUCUUGUAACAUCUCAGUUAGUUUGUUCUUAUCCUUCUUCUUUCCCUUUUUGGUUGUGUCUGAGCUUCCUCCUGCCAUUGGUGGUAAAGCAGCAUCUGAUCCAGGCUUUGCUUGGCUUAGACCUCUCAUCAGAUCAGGCUGUUUCAUUGAUUUUCUCCUAGAAAAUGUCCUUGAAAAUGAUUGUUGCAGCUCGGUGGCAUGCUUCUUUGCAAUAUCUUUGGCUGAUUUCCAUUUCUCUUGCGUUUGCGUCUCACGCACGCUUUGUACUGCUUUCUCCCUGGACUUUGCUUGCCUUCUUUCUCUUGUAGCAAGCACUUGAUCAGAGCAGUUGUAUAAGAUUAUGAGCAAGAAACCUAGCCCAGCCUACAUAUAUAUAGACAUAAGCCAAAGACUCAAAACUGUUUGGAAAUAAACUAAGAGGUAAAUGAGGAAGAUCUGUUAUGUAUGGCUCACAAAAAGCAUGAUUCCAUAUGCUGUGAUGUUCUGAUUUGUUGAUCUUGGAUUGCAUGUUGCCAGCUUAAAACAAUCUGCAAAUGCAUCAGAGAAAAGAAACGUUAAGUUUUCCUAUACUUGAAACUUAAAAUCAAUUGGCGAUAAGUGGAUUCAUUCAAGUCCUCAUGUCUCAUCGAAACUCCCGUUGUAAUAGUAACUAAGAGGAUCACUCACUUUUUUCAGCAGUAGAACCUGUCCUGCAGAAAUGUCUGGAGAAAACAGAAGAUUAGUUUUAUCUGAUGAAUCUCAAAGCAAGGUUAUCAAAAUAAUUCUUACCCUCUAGUACAAGGAAGCUUGUCAAUAGUUGAAGGACAAAAAGAUCCAGCUGAGCAGAAAACUUCACUGCUACUAACAAUAUCAGCCCAUAUAUCAGCACCACCACAAGUAUGAUUUGGCUGUCCUGAAGGAAGCUGGUAAUGAUAUCUGCAAACACAACAAUCAUGAUUCUAGUCUUUACAUACAAAACAAAACGUAGAGACAUAAAAGUGAAAGAACAAGACAUACGGGUCGCAUAGUCCUGUUGUUCUGUUCAGCUUAGCUUCUGGACAAUAAGCUCCCAAAGGACAAGCUUCAUAACAUUGGGAGGUAAAAACAACAUUAUAAAAAAAGGAAAAGAUUCUUGAGAGUUUUGAAUGUUCUGUAACUUACGUAUCAUGCAAGUAAUCCCACGAGGGCAGAAGAAACCUGCGCAGCAAGGCGCACAUUGCUGAGUUCUCACAGGAACGUUUUUAUCGUCUUUAAGGUCAACUUUAACGUCUUUGGCAGUACGACAAGCCCAUCCAGGUUCACAUCCAGACAUCCAUGAAGAUAGAUUGCAGUUUUUGUUCGGUUUUAAGUAAUUAGUAGCUCUCUUUGCACCUCCUAAUAAUCCAUUGAAGUAUAUCCUCACUUCUGCAGCUGUACAUAUCCUCUGCAUCAUGUCACCUAUUCCCAUACCAUAAAAAACAUCAACAAAAAUGUAUAUAUUUAAAUUUCUUUAAUUUGUUGUACCAAUGACACAGAGGACAUGUACCUUUUGUGGUUUUACCACAUUUAUUUAAGAAGCCUGGCUUGGAAGAGAAGUUAAACGCUUCAUUAUAAUCUUCUUUUCUGCAACACACAGGAUUUUUUUUUUUCAUUGGUUUGUUAGUUUUUUUUUUUUGACAAGGAAAACAAUAAGGAGAAGAUGUUAACUAACACAUUGGUGAUGCAGAAACCGAGUUCUCGUUUGAUGUCAUCCUCAAAAACUUCUGUGAGAUUGGAUAUUUUGUCGAAGACGAAUUGGUUAUAGAGGCGAUUGGCUGCUGGAUUAUCCAAGCUACUAUCAUCUUGACAUAUUACUCCUCGAUGAAAUAUAAAGACAAGAGAAACGAAGAACGAAACAAAUGUUUCUUGAAAACAUAACUUUCUCCUUCCCAUUCCAGAGUUUUUCUUGAAAUACAGUGAUACAGAUUUGAGAUCAGGACGGAUCAAGGGAACAUUAGAUUAUUGAUCUGUUCUUGAGAUUCGAUAGAGAAUUAGGGUUUGUUUUGUUUAUUUUUUUUCUUUUGAGGGGAAGAUUGUGUUGUUUUCUUGUGAGUCAAGAAAUAUGGUGGAGAGGAAGACAUGGCGAUAAAUGAGGAAGAGGGAGAAAGACAGAGAAUCGUUGGACUUUCUCUAACUCGUGUUUUGGUAAUAUCAAGUUUUAUCACAACUCAAAAUAGCUUUGGAAUGGCUUUGUGUUCAUGGGAACUGAUGCAAUGUUUUUUCUCAACUUUGAUAAUAUUAAAUAAUACCAUAAUCGUCAACAUCUCAGUCUUUUAAUAAUUAAAAAAAAAUUCUUCAGCUAUUACUAUUUUUUAAUUGAUAAGUUCAAACGAAUAUGAUGUGUUUGGUUUCAAAUAAUGAACUUAAUUUUAUAGCCAAAACACUUCUUCAUCUGUUAGAAUAGGAUAGGUCAAGCAAAAAUGUAUCCUUUGAAUAAUAGCCAAAAGAAAAUAUGGUAAUAUUAUUGAAACAAAGUAUGUAAACUUAACAUGUGUUUACUGUGCUUUCACAAUUAAAUAUGGGGUGGUGAGAUUUGUUUCAGAUUCGAUCCUACUUGUUGAGUUUUAACAAUUUCUGCAUUUUUGAAUAAGUGGGUCUUUUAUUCAGUUAUAUCAUUACUCUUAAAGAUAAGUGUUUAUUUAGCUUUACAUUUGUUCACCGACUUAAUAAUCGAUUUAUUUUUUAUGAAAAUAUAUGAAAAUUUUCAAUUGAUUUAUGAAAAAUAAUCGCUUAUGAAAAAGAUGCUAAAUUCACAUUCGUUACGGUUAAAGAUAAGUGUUUAUGAAAAAUUCAAAUGAUUUUGUAUCUAUUUGUUAAAUAAUUUUCUUUUGCAAAAUUCAUUUAAUUUUCUUUUCCCACAAUAACAAAUUUCUUAUAGUUCGUCAACCCAACCUAUAGAUUUAGUUCAGUUUCUUUCUAAAUUUGCUUGGUAUAAAAAUUAAAAACUAAGCUAAUAGGGUCAUCAAACCAUAAAAAUAGGAGUACGUUUUUAAGAUUUCUUUUUUGGUUAAAGUUGCAAAACUCACCGGACCGAGCUCAUUUGAAUGGUGGCUUAACAUCGAACUCAAUGUUUUCUGUUUCCAUUUUUCUCUCUUUUUCACUUUGAAAAUGAACAAAUAAGCAGCCUACUUCUUGAAUACGAAAGUACCUAAAUCAUAUAGAUAACUUUUUCAGAGAAAGCCGUACUUAUCGAAGAACAAUUCUUUCACUUUACUCGGUUGUUCUACUCUCACGACUUUUCUAGCUGGACAAAAACCAUAAAAGCCAAUAAGAAUCACACACCGUACUAAACCCUGUCAAGACUUGUAUUCUUCAUUCAACACUAUCAAAGAAAGAGCGACUCAUCAUAAUCAUAUAAUAACCAGUUAUUGGCUUUAUAGCAUUGCAAGCUCUCAAAAUGUCUCAAUAUAAAGCUCAUGUACACAAACCAACACACGGCUUAAGAUGAUGAUAAAACUAAUAAAGCAACCAAGCAAAACGCCACACUCUGUUUUUUUUUUCAAUCUUAUUUCUCAUAUUCUUAGACAAUGCGCAAAGUAUUGGUGCGGAUUAUUAUUGCCAAUCAUCAUCAUCCCAUUGCAUACUUCUGGGUCCAGGAUCGGGCGGUGCUCUCGUACUUGACUCGGUCUGUCUUGUAGGUGUGAGCUAUUUCUGGAACCAGAGGGUCAUCAGGGUUUGGAUCUGUCAGCAAUGAACAUAUCGACAGAAGAACCUGUGGAAAACCCAACACCAACCUCUUUUAACACUUAAGCAUAUGCAAAUUGAAGAAUCUAUUAGUCUAUCCACGAAAAUAUCUUCAAGCAAGUCGCCAAUGCAUGAUUAUAAAAUUGGAAACCGGAUGUCAUGUCAUCAAUAUAUUGAUUAUAAAAGCCUUAACCAUAAGUAACUCCUAAUAAAAGAGAUGGCACAUAGAGAAUUACUUGAACCAGUACCAAUAUCAUGACUACUUAGACCACGACCCAAAUACAUGCUCAAUCAUUGGUUCAAAUAAUCACAACAGAGGAAGUGGGCAAAGGCGUGAUGGUAACUAACAGACACACGAACAUAAGAGGGUACGGUGGAAAACAGAAUGACGAGAUUAUGGAACUGAAACAAUGUGAUCACCUUGGAUAUGGUAAGUGCAGGGCUCCACUGCUCUUUCAGAAUGUCAAGACAGAUACUGCCGUUACUGUUGACAUUCGGGUGGUAAACCUUGGUGCGGAAAGAAACCUGCAUCAUAAACAACCAUAGAUGAUUGAACACUACUCGCUCUAAGCAAAAGGGUGGGUGAUAAACUAAUUUAGUUGAGCUCCAGGAAUAAACAUAACAAGCAACUACAGGACAUUUUUGGUACCUUUGGUGGCUUGAAGGGGUAAUCUGGUGGGAAGUGAAUGGAAACAAGAAACACACCUCCGGAGAAUGGGCUAUCAGUUGGGCCCAUGAUAGUCGCUUGCCAGUGGAACAUAUCAUCACCCACAGGACCUAAAACAACAUCAUCAAUUUCAUUAUAACCUAAAUAACUCAUACUGUAACUUAUAAAAAAAACACAUUCACUAUCCUAAAACUGAUGCUGAGUUUAAUAAAUUUAGCUACUGAAUCUCUCCAGGUGUGCCUUAGUAAGUAUAAAAGAUCCGAACUUUAGAAUCCAAAAAAAGAAAGCUCAAAGAUUAUAAUAAAAGGUGAAAAACAACAUGAUACUGACCAGCACUGCAUGAGACAGGAGGAUCCCUUUGGAGGUCCCUAAGCUCCUUGUUGAUUCUUUUCGAAGCCAUCUUGAACUGUACUCGCUGCUUCUAGCUACAAAACAAUCCAAGUCUCAUCAAGAUUUAGAAUUUCAAUAAUAUAUAUUACAUUUAUAAAACCACAAACACUACACAACAGAGAUUCAUAUAAACUACUAACGAAAAUAGUAUUUAAAAAAAGAAGACUCAUGCAAGUUAGUUAAUCUGGCUGAUGAUACGCCACCUGAAGAAAUCUAUCGAAAUCAAGUGGAUGAUGCAAUCAGAAUCUAAGUGAAGAUGUUGUUAUUAACUAAAGCCGAUCAGAUAUGCUAUUGAUCAAACAGAGGCAAAUCAUCUAACGAUUCAGGAAUCUUAAACAGAAACUGCGAAUCUGCGGAACAAGUACAUGGAUCGACGCAAAAAGAUUCCGAAAGAAAACAAAUCGAGAGAGGAGAUAAAAAAAGAGAUCUACGAAGAUGAUCGGUGAGCUGGGAAACGAAUGAGAACCCGAUGAUCAGAUCGAAUCGAGAUUUUUGGUUGAGAACUAAAUUGCGACCUUACCUACCUUACGUAGGGUUUUGAUUUGAUCUUCGGAAAAUCUCAAGAGGUUGUUGAUUCGAAGCAUUCUUUUCGCUUUAAAUAGAUUCCUCUUCCGAGCGCUCAAGCUUUGCCACGUAGCGCGAGCUUGAUUCCGUUACGGGCCCAUUAUGAGGCCCAAUCUGUAAAAUAAUUGAGAUACUUCUAUAUGUUCGAAUUGUGCAAUUAUUUAGGUGGGUUGCCUUUAAGCAGUAGUGUUUAUCAUCAUCAUUCACAUUCAUCCUUUGGAUACCAUUUGAGGGUUCACAGUAUAUAAUAUCUUAUUAGUUAUACUAACUUUUAAGAAUGUUCCAGAUAUCUUAAUAAAUUGACUUUUGAGUUCUGAAUAACUUUGGUAUACUGAAAGAAGCUAUCUUGUAUUACAAGAAACUGAUUUUGGUGUGUUUAUCAAUUAUCAGUUAGCUCCUAUAGUUUGUUGGUAAUGAUCUUUAAAGAAAACCAACGGUUCAUCACUAAACUGGAUGAUUAAUUUGAUUGAUCGACCGAUUUACUGAUCCCAUUUAUAACCGAUUGUUGACUAAUCAACCAACUAAUGGACUAGUCUAUCUUUUUUUUUUUUUAUGAAAAUAGAGCUGAUAUGCAACAUAAAACAUGUCGAUCUCCGUAAUAAAAGGUGAAAAAUACUCGAGAACAGAACAUGAUAAUGAAACAAACUUCACUUUCACGUUUAUGUAUCCCAAAACAUAUUAUCAUUACCAGACAGGCAGACACAUACUAUCAUGAUCUUAUGUUUUUUUCUUUUUCUAAAAUAAAAAAUUCCCAUGGAAACUGGAACUAAACUUCUCAUAUAUAGAGUAAAAACAACAAAAUAAGUUGGCAAAAAACAUCAAAAUAAACUUAAAAAACAAAGCCCAGAGACUCGGAGAGAGAGAGAGAGAGACUCAUCAUGCCUUAUGUUCCUUGAAACGUUGUCAUCUGAUCUCUCUCCAGGUCAAUGAUAAAAUAGACAAAAAAAAAACACAUUCAUAAUCAUAUAUACAGCAACUCUAUUCCCGGAGAAGAGGAUAGAGGUUUGGCCUUUCUGCGUCGAACUGGGAUCGGUUUCAUAUUCCUUGAGAUGUGGGACAGAUCACAACAACAAAACUGUGUUUUGAGGCAUUUGUUGUCUACACUUCUCUUGUUUUGGCUCUCUUCAUACCGAGGCUAUUGUAAGGAGAAACAGAACCGGACAUUGGAGAUCCUUCUUCACGAAGAGCUCCAUUGAGCAAUGCUAGCUCUCUCAGCUGCUGUUUCUUGUAAAAAUCAUGUGUUUCCUCCUGAAAAUAUAAACCAAAGUGUUUUAUAAAAACGAUACUAUCAUUAGCCGGUCUGAAACUAAAAGGGGAAAGAGAUGAGAAAACAAACCAUAGGAGUAAGGAGUUCAUCUAGUACUUCACGAGCUUGCAUGAGACGUGCAUCGACUAUUUCAAUCGGUAACUCAGCUUCGACUAAGAUAUGAAGUGGCUCACUCAAGUGCUCAAAUCCAGGCUUUCCUCUCAUCAUUUCCUCCUACAAGAAGAAAGAUAUCAACUUACUGAACAGUGAACAGAACAUUGGAACAUGGAUACAAAUGAAGUUGUGAAGGAAAAUAACAAACACCUUAUAUUGAUCUUUGAUACUGCCUCUUCCUCUUAUAAGAAAACGGCAACCAGUACUUGCUUCAACUCUCUUCAGGGAGUUUCCUCUAGGUCCCAGGAGGCGACCAACGAAGUUGAACUGUCAUAACCAAACAUGUAGAGUUAUAUUCCACCAAACAAUAUAUAUAUUUAAGUAUAUUCUGAGUGUAGACAUGAGUGUUCAUACAUUUGGAUAAUCGUCAACUGGAAUAUCGAUCCUGAUUGUUCGCUUGGCGAUCAGACCAGACGGACUACCAGGUGAGUUAUGCCAGUUUGGUCCGGGAGACGAUGGAACAGAUCUCUGCAUAUGAUCAACCAACACUAUUUAGAAGCCACAUCAACCUUAAAUCAUAAGCACAUAUUAAUCAACAUGUAGUAGCAACAUCAAUAUAAAAAACAAUAUCUUAGCUUCCUCUCCAUAGAAAGAAGAGUCAAUAUAACCUGUAGCUGCUAUAUCCUAAAUAAAAUGUAUAGAGAGUAAUCACAUGUAAAUGAAAUUAUUAUAGUAAACACUUCUGACUAUCUGUUACGGCUCACGAGUAUAAUGGAGUUUUUAGUUAGUGUUAACCUAAGCAUAUACAGUGUUAGCCCUGUCACAUUAUAAACUAGGACUAAAAGCAGAGUCAAACAUGUUAUGUCAGCAAAACUUAAGUCAAUAAAACAAACUUGUAUCGAAUUAGAUGGAAAAAGGAGUUAUUAUGUUAAUGGUUAGUAGUCAUACUUCUGAUGGAAACUGUGAGGUCCAUCCGCUCAUGUCAGCUCUUGCAUUCUGAUAUAUCCCUCCAGGGUUAGUGUGGUCAAGCCCACUCUGACUUAAAACUGUGGCAUUCUCCAACAGUGUGGUUACACGCAAAAUCUCUGUUCCAAAAAAUGUCAAUUUCCAAGAGCAAGACGCAACAGUUAGAGAUUAGUCAACAAAUAAGUCAGCAGUACACCAAUGAAUGGGGGAUACAUCACAGUUAAUUGAGUUAGCAAAGAACAAUAUUUUUUCUUCACUCUAGUUAAAAAGAAUGACGGAAGUCACUCUAGUCAAAUGUUAACAUGUUUUAAAUCUAAAUUGUAGUCUCUCUGUGAUUAGUAAAAUAUUUACAGUCUAGGAUUAUUGAAACAUUUUGUUAUAUAGUUUCCAACCGCUAACGAUAAUAGCAGCAGGAGUUAAGUGUUUAUCAAUAGUAAGAGAGCUUCAUAGUUAUAAAGUAAGCAAUGACAAUGUAAGAAACAGAAAUGCUCACCCUGGUUCAGUAGGCGACAUACAUGUGGAAGCACAGGCAAGAAUGGAGUAAGAUUACGACGCUCUGCAAGUAACUCUGAAAGAUAGCUGCCAAAACAGAACAUAUCCAAAUCAGUCAAGCCUCAAAGACAAAUCAAACUUAAGGGAAGAUCCACUUUAAAAAAGAUCAUCAUGAUCAAGAAACCAAAUACACUUAUUAAAUCUGAGAUUCAAGUUUACACUCUUUCAGUGAAGUGGAUCUAGUCAUUCUUCUUACAAAAAAAAACUGUGACUUUAACUGUUUCAAUAAGUCAAAGAACAUAAAUCAACAGUAAGAAUAGUCAAUGAUCUAUAAAUCUAUCAUACCACCUGAUGCGUACACGACACUAACAUAAAAAAAAAGUCAGAUUUGAGAUUACUAAUGAGAUCUACGGAUUAACAUCGGCAAAACAAAGAUUAAACAAUAAGUCAUCAGAUUCAUCAGCCACAAUAAGAUUCACAACGUAAAGAAGAAACACACAAACAAAAGAAGAAGUGAGAUUCAAUUACUUCUCCUGCUCAACGAAUACAGAAGACUGUGAUCGGAUCCCACCGGAGUAGUUAGGCGACUGAGGAACAGAAGGAGGAACCGCGAGAGACGACGAAUACGGCAUAAACCUCCCUCCGCCGCCACCGCCACCGCCUCCACCACCACUGAGCGAGGUCAUCAUCAUCAUCUCGAAGGCAAUAACGUUUACAAGGGAUCAGAGCAGAGCUGUCGGAGAUCAGAAGAUGAGGCGGCGGAGUUAGAAAGAUGAGAAGAAGAAGAGAUGUUGUGUCUGUAACGUCGUCGGUGGUCGUUUUAUAUAGAGACAGUGUUGGUACUGUUGAAAUGAUUACUUGCUUAGCUGUUUUUUCACCCUUUUUAAAAAAAAAUCACGUCACUUGCGCAAAUUUUACCGCUCUGGUUAGUUUCUUUCAGAAGACUCUUUAUCAUCUAGAAGGCUUCAAUCCGGUUUACUAAAAUUCGGUUACCGAAUCACUAAAACGCUGCGUUUAAGAAAGCGAAGCCCUGAUCGAUUGUGAAUCUUAAAAAGUUUCUGUCCCUUGUGUACUACUAAAACGCUGCGUUUAAGUUUGUGUUAGCAGUACCAGUUGGGACUGUAUCUAGUUGGAAUGUUACAGUAUCACUAUUUGUGUGGAAAGUUCGUCUUUCUGUUUUGACGUGAAUAUUAGGCAUGAACGUUCGGGUCUUCGGGUCGGAUUUGGAUCAGACCGUUACGGAUCCGGAUCCUUCGGACUUAAUAGUUUAGGAUCCGAUAGGUUAAUUUGAUAUUCUCGUUCCGAGUCUUUUCGAGUCUGGAUCGGAUCGAAUCUUAGAUAGUUAGAUUUAAUAAAGUAAAUAGAAUUUAUCGAUUCGGAUUCGGUUCGGUUACAGAUCGAGUUCGGUUCGGGUCCAGUCCAAAAAAUAUCUAAAACACAUAAAAAAUAUUAAUACUCGAAAAAUAUGAAAAAUUCUAUAUAAAAUCUGAUCCAAGGAAAAAAUAUCCAAAAAUUUAUCUGAUUAUCCUAAUUAUGUUUUUGAAAAUCUAAAUUUUUAUCCAAUACCCAAAACCAUAUUCAAAAACAAAAAUCUGAAACAAAAAUCAUAGUAAAAAUAUUAUUUGUUUUAAAACAAAAAGUAGUAAAUUAUAAAGAAGAAGAAAAUAACACAUUGACCAAAAAGAAGUAAAUGACUUACACCCCAAGAUUAUUGGGCCCAACUUGUUUGAAACUAACAAGUUAAGCAUAAUGGAUCUCAGAAGGAUCUAGAAACCCUAUAACGUUUGUGUAUAUAUAUACGUAACUUCUCUCUUCACUACUUCGCAUCUGCUCUCUCUCUAUUAUUGUACCUCCUUGAUAAACCCUAGAUCUCCCCGAUAAGCAGCAACAAUGGCAGACGCCGAGACUUUCGCUUUCCAGGCGGAGAUCAACCAGUUGCUCUCGCUCAUCAUCAACACCUUCUACAGCAACAAGGAGAUCUUCCUUCGUGAGCUCAUCAGCAACUCCUCCGAUGUAAGUCUCUUUUGCUUUCUCCUGCCUCGAUCUGUAGAUUAGGUUUGAUUACUGUUGUUGUUGUAUCCGAUCUGAAAUAGGGAACUCUUAGCUAUACUGUUGCUAGCGAUUUGAGUUGAAUUGAUUUUGGAUUGAUUAUUGCGAGAUAUAUUGAAUUUUGUGUACGUUCUAUGCGUAAUGUAUACGUUGUUUGCGUUUGUUACUUAAUGGUUCUGAUCUGAUUGUGGUUAAACAGGCUUUGGACAAGAUCAGAUUCGAGUCGUUGACUGAUAAGAGCAAGCUUGAUGGCCAGCCAGAGCUAUUCAUUCACAUCAUUCCAGACAAGGCUAACAACACCUUGACCAUUAUCGAUAGCGGUAUCGGUAUGACCAAGGCUGAUUUGGUCAACAACCUUGGAACCAUUGCGAGGUCUGGCACCAAGGAGUUCAUGGAAGCUUUGGCUGCUGGUGCUGAUGUUAGCAUGAUUGGGCAGUUUGGUGUCGGUUUCUACUCUGCUUACCUUGUUGCUGACAAGGUUAUCGUCACCACCAAGCACAAUGACGACGAGCAGUACGUGUGGGAGUCUCAGGCUGGUGGGUCUUUCACUGUAACCAGAGACACCUCUGGAGAGAGUCUUGGUAGGGGUACUAAGAUGGUCCUUCACCUCAAGGAGGACCAGUUGGAGUACCUCGAGGAGAGGAGGCUUAAGGAUUUGGUCAAGAAGCACUCUGAGUUCAUCAGCUACCCAAUCUCCCUGUGGAUUGAGAAGACCAUUGAGAAGGAGAUUAGUGAUGACGAGGACGAGGAAGAGAAGGACGAGGAAGGAAAGGUUGAGGAGGUCGAUGAGGAGAAAGAAAAGGAGGAGAAGAAAAAGAAGAAGAUUAAGGAGGUUUCUCACGAGUGGGACUUGGUGAACAAGCAGAAGCCUAUCUGGAUGAGGAAGCCCGAGGAGAUCAACAAGGAGGAGUACGCUGCCUUCUACAAGAGUCUCAGCAACGAUUGGGAAGAGCACUUGGCCGUGAAGCACUUCUCUGUUGAAGGACAGCUCGAGUUCAAGGCUGUUCUCUUUGUUCCCAAGAGAGCUCCUUUUGAUCUUUUUGACACCAAGAAGAAGCCCAACAACAUCAAGCUCUACGUCCGUCGUGUCUUCAUCAUGGACAACUGCGAGGACAUCAUUCCCGAGUACCUUGGCUUUGUGAAGGGUAUUGUCGACUCCGAAGAUCUCCCCCUCAACAUCUCGAGAGAGACGUUGCAGCAGAACAAGAUCCUUAAGGUCAUCCGCAAGAACCUCGUGAAGAAGUGCAUGGAGCUCUUCUUUGAGAUUGCUGAGAACAAGGAGGACUACAACAAGUUCUACGAAGCUUUCUCUAAGAAUUUGAAGCUCGGUAUCCACGAGGACUCCCAGAACAGAACCAAGAUCGCUGAGUUGCUCCGUUACCACUCGACCAAGAGCGGUGAUGAGUUGACCAGCCUCAAGGAUUACGUGACAAGGAUGAAGGAAGGUCAGGAGGAUAUCUUCUACAUCACCGGUGAGAGCAAGAAGGCUGUGGAGAAUUCUCCAUUCCUUGAGAGGCUCAAGAAGAAAGGGUAUGAAGUCCUUUACAUGGUGGAUGCCAUCGAUGAAUAUGCCAUUGGCCAGCUCAAGGAAUUCGAGGGAAAGAAGCUCGUCUCUGCAACCAAGGAAGGUCUGAAACUGGAAGAGUCAGAAGACGAGAAGAAGAAAAAGGAAGAGCUAAAGGAGAAGUUUGAAGGACUCUGCAAAGUGAUUAAGGACGUCCUUGGAGACAAAGUCGAGAAGGUCAUUGUCUCUGACCGUGUUGUGGACUCACCAUGCUGUCUGGUAACAGGGGAAUACGGCUGGACUGCAAACAUGGAGAGGAUCAUGAAAGCGCAGGCCUUGAGAGACAGCAGCAUGGGAGGUUACAUGUCUUCCAAGAAGACGAUGGAGAUCAACCCAGAGAAUGCGAUCAUGGACGAGCUAAGGAAGAGAGCCGAAGCUGACAAGAAUGACAAGUCUGUGAAGGAUCUUGUUCUUCUCCUCUUUGAGACUGCUCUUCUCACUUCAGGUUUCAGCUUAGACGAGCCCAACACCUUCGGAAGCAGAAUCCACAGGAUGUUGAAGCUGGGAUUGAGCAUUGAUGAUGAUGAUGCCGUUGAAGCCGAUGCUGAGAUGCCACCGCUUGAGGAUGAUGCCGAUGCUGAAGGCAGCAAGAUGGAGGAGGUCGACUAAAAGCCUGCCCUGUUGCUGCAGUGAACGAUUUUUCUCUACUUAUCUGCUCUUUCUAUGGCUAAAACUAUUAUUUUGGUGUUUUUUCUUCUUUUCUCAAGUACUAUUAGUGGUGUAGUUUUUUUCUCUGAACUAUAACUAUUGCUGUUAAGGGACUUCGUUUCUUCCAAAUCCAGAAAUUGUUAUUGCACGGUUGAUGAGUAUCCUACUGAUAUAUUUUGUAUCUUGAACUUUGCUUAAGACAACAUAGUUAAAGUAUGUUUAAGUACCUGGACUGAAGAGUGGAAAAAAUGUAGUUGCUUGUGUUCUGUCGUUUGGAGUAUUACUCUUUUCUUAAGAGAACAUUAGUCUUCUAUGAUUUGACAGACAAGUUUGAAGACUCAUUAAAAAAACUUACAGAUCUCUUUUUGUCGCAACAGUUUCAAGAUUCUUUGCAUCGCUGCUCUCUACAUAGUAGAUUCACUGGCCAUUGUUAUAGUUCUGAGUGAGGUUUUUUGGGGGAAAACACACAGGUUGAAGCAAACCACUUGGGUAAAAGAUCUAUCAAUUUCAAAAGUUUAUAUAUCAUAUGGACCAGUUGUAUCUACAAAUAGGCCUGGUCAAGAUGUAAAUCGAAAAGAAUUUUGCCUCGCAACAAAGCUCAGCAAGAGAAAAAUAAAUGAGUUCAGAGAAACAAAUUAACUUUCACAAGAAAGCUCAACGAGACAAAUGAACAAAUAAAUGAGUUCAGAGAAAGUCUUUGUAGAUUGCUCUUUUUAUCGCUCUUUUUAUCUUCAGGUAUCUUCAACCUGAGAAUGGAACACAAAGCUUGGAAACGUAGUCGUGAUAUCCCUGCAAGCACAGACACAACAUGGUCACCACCUUUAUUGAGAAGAAACCAGAGAAGCAAUUCUGUUGUAUAGAUUUCAAUAAGUCCCGGUUACAAAAACAUAAACUCACUUGAGAUAUUGAAGAGUCAUGUUCUUGAGAAGGCUAGGAUGUCUAAGAACAAGGCUUCUCCACUCUUCCUUAUCAAUCUUUCCAUCGUGUUUCGUGUCUGCUUCUUCAAACGUCUAAAACAAAUCAAAACUCAGGGAAAGUUACUCUCAACUAAAGCUAUUGUGCGAAGAUGAGAAAAGCAACUUACCUUGUCAAUUAUAUCCUCAAUGACAGUAUCCUUCAGGUUCAUUCCAGAUUCAGCAAGCGUAGCCACAACCAUUUGUUUCACCUGGACAAAAACAGCGGUGAGGAUGAUGAUAAAGUGCAGUUUAAUAUGAAACCUAUUUGAAUAUACCUCUUGCCGUUCUAUGAAACCUUGCUGUUUAAGAUCAUAUAGCUGAAAUGAAACUGCAACAACAACAUAUAUAUAUAAACCAUGAAUCGGAAACAAUAUUAGGACAUUAUUUUUUCUAAGCUAUAAGGGACUUACAUUGGAUUUUGUCAUCUAUAGGUGCAUUGGGAUGGAAUACAGAGAGAGCUCGAGCAAACUCCUCAAACCCAAGUAUUCCAUUGUGCUUUGUGUCAAACAAAUCAAAAACCUACAAACCAAAUGACAUAUGCUUCUUAAGACUUGAUCUUUUGGGGGGGAAAAAAACACUUGUAGUAAAGAAAGAAAUAUUACUCGAUCAGCAAACAAGCUCUCUUUCUUAUUUGUCUUAAACAAUGCCAACUGAAACUCCUCCUGAACCAAAGUUUUAACAAGAGAUGAGUAAACUAGACUGAGAUGGUGUCAACAAAUAAUGAAUUGACCAAAAAGAUUACACAAGCUCUUACCUUGUUUAUAAGCCCAUCAUCAAUCACAGCACUGCUGAUUUUUUUAAACAGCUCAUAAAGAGCUUCUAUCUCACUGACACUAACUGCACCACAAACCAAGUUCCAUUUAUUUUUUUAUUUUUUUCAAACCAAGUUCCAUACAAUCAUAUAAACCGAACUAAAUUAAAAAAAAAGGAAUAGAGAAGCUGAUAGGCAAUACAAACUGUGUCUCUCGAAAGCAAUUCAGGGUCACCAAGUCCGCCACCAGAUUGUUUAUACAAAUCGAGAUCAAAACACCCUAAAACAGAGGUGCAUAAAUGCUUAACACCGUCUAUGCACUGCGUCAUGAUUGAUAACUUAUGCAAAUCAUAACUCUCCAUGCCUGCAAAAUAAAACAAAACAGGGAGAAGAAGUAAAGCCUAAGUGAAAACUCUACAGAAACAAAACAUAUGAACAAAUAUAAAAACCCACCUUAUAAGUUUUAACCUUUGGUCUGAGAAAAGGCAGAGCGCUCUGCGAUGAUCUGUAAUUGUAAAAGCAGAUGAGAUGUAAAUUGUAAUCACUUAAUAAAUCUUUUGGUCUGACAGAGUAGACAUAAGAUUGAAUGUAACACACACAACUUGAAAAAAAGUUAAAGAUAGGAUCAGACAAAGAUUCAUAAUAACAAAAUAAAGGCAACAAAACAUUGCUUACACACUAUAAACUGAAGUCAUUGUCAUUAUUACCAGAUGUUACUUAUGUCCACAUAAACACAAACGAAGGCUUGAAUGAUAUCAUUGGCAAAUUAUUUAAAAAGAUAAACGAGAAUAACGAUGCAAAAGCCUAAAAAUGUUUAAUUCACAUAACAAACCAAAUUUAUAUAUCUAAUUUUCUUAAACAUUAGAAUAAUGGAACAUUGCUCUCUAAAUCACUCCGAUUCAACAUUACAGUAAAACGGAUUCGUGAUGGAAUCACACGUUAUGCAACUCUUAUACUAUUCAGUAGUUGUGAACUGAAUUGGUUUUACAGAUUAACAGAAAUCAACCGAAUAAAAAGUUACCGUUUUUCGAUGCUUCUGAUUGUAUUCCUCAAUCUCAAGGCGGCUCUUUGGCGGUUGGAAGGUGGUGGAGAUUGGUAGUAAGGUGAGAGCCGAUUCUGGUGUAAGCAGAAUGGUUUAGAAGAACAAAUAUAUUUUACAAAACCUGAGAAAAUCUUUUAAACUAUUUAUGUAAAUAAAAUAAAGAAAUAAUCUUUUUAGCAUUAACUAACUUUGGUCUACAACUUUUUAAAUCAAUUAAUCUUAUAUAUUAAAACAGAAGUCACAACCUUAAUUCAUGUGUGAUUUUUUUAAAAAUGGACCUAAUGGACCUAUUCAUAGAAAUUCAUACUAUAUUUUAAUUCAGACUAAUAAUAAAUAUAAUUUUUAAAAUAUUUUAAUCAUAGUAUCUUUUGAUAUUUUUCAUUUUAAAUAUAAAUAUAUUUAUUUUAAAAUUCUAACAAAUCUGUUUAAAAAGAUUUUUACAAGAUCUUCAUUUUUGAAAUUAUAUUUAAAUAUUUUCACUAAUUUCGAAAUUAGUUUAAAAUAUUAUUAUACAUUAAUAUAUUCAGUUAUAUAAAAUGAAAAAUAAAAAAAAUCUAUAAUAUUUUAGUUAUUAUAUAAUCAUAAUCAAUCAUAUUAAAUUAAAAUUAUUAUCUUGAGCUAAAUAUAAUAAAAUUGUAUUAAACUUAUAUAUUUAUAUAUUUUAUUUUCGUAAUUAUAAAAUAUUUAUGUUCAAAAAUAAAAUCUAAUAUGUUGGUAAGAUGGGUUAACAUUAUCAAAUUAUAUAAUACAUGUAUAAAAAUUAACAUGUAUUUAUUUAAAGUUAAUAAUAUAAAAUCUUUGUAACUACAUUAAUUAUAAUAUAUUUUCAUUUUAAAUAUAAUAUAUAUUUAUAUAUUAUAUUUUAAAAAUUCUAAUAAAUCUGUGUAAUAUUUUUUUUUGUCACGAAUAAAUCUGUGUAAUAUUUAAACAAUAACUUAAUGUAUUUUAAGUUAUUGUUUAGAAAUGAAAAUAAAUAAAUUAUAUCCUAUUUUAUCUACUUUUAUAGUCAUGAUCAUGUUAAAAUAUAAUUAUUAUACUAAAAUAAAUAUGAUAAAAUUAUAUUCAAUUGAUAAAUUUAUAAAUUUUAUUUUCAUAAAUAUAAACUAUUUAUUUAAAAUAUAAUAUGAUGAUAGAACGACUUAAAAUUAACAAACUAUAUAAUACAUGUCUAAAAAUUAACAUAUCUUACACUUUUAUAUAUACAAUAAUAAAUUAUCUAAAAUAAAUAAGCAUAAAAAUAUUGGUAAAAAGAAAUCCAGUUUUGAAAUACGGGUCAGAAUUUAGCAUAAAUUAAAUACAAAAUAUUUUUUAAAUAUAUUUUCUCAUGAAUCCCCUAUAUUAUUUUGCUUAAUAAUUAAAUGCAAAUACAAUAAAACAAAUAUAUAAUAGGAAGUGGUAAAUACAUAAGGUUUAAAUAAUUAAUUAAUUAUAACAUGUAAAUUAUAAAAUUAUUGUAUUUGAAAUAGUUAUAUAAAUAUUUAACUAUAUAAUUAUCAUUAAAAAUAUAUACUACUUAUGUUCUAAAACAAUAAUUUAUGUAUAGAAAAAUGAAAACAAACACCUGUGCGGUUGCACGGGUCAAAAUCUAGUUAUGUUGUUGAUACAGCUGUUAAGCCACGAAUGAGUGAAGCUCCAACAACUACUUGUCACACGUCGCAUUUUGUGGAGCCUGUGUUAAAUAAUGCGCUGUAUUUAAUUAUACGACCACGUUUUACUCGGGACUUAAUUUGCACUUUAUUACGGAACCGUUUAAUGUUUGGUUUGGUUUUGUUUUAUUUCCGGUUUACGUUAUAGACGAUCUGAAUUGAACCUGAACCACCGGUCUCAUCAGUUGUCUUUUAACGUUUUCAUUUCACAAUACAUCAAAAUCGCAGCAAUAAUCAACAUUUAAUGUAUAUACGGGUGUGUUAAAAAAAAAAAGUAUAUACGGGUUGUAAGGAUAUAUAUAUGGAGAACCUUUUUAAAAUAUUCAACUCGAUUCAGAAAAUGAAUAUUUCGUGUGUUUUGAGGCAUUUUGAUGAUUGUGUAAAUGGAAUUUAAUUGAUUAAGCGUAUGAUUGUACAAUAAAUCAAUUUUAGAAUGUAAAAUCUCUGACGAACUACAUAAAGUUCGUCUUCGAUCGGUUUAGGCCGAAUUCAAACUGUUUGGUAUACAUUUUCAACACAAAACCGACACUUAUUAUACCGAAUAGGGGCGAAUACAUACGAUUAAAAGCGGUUUACUAAGCCUUGAUAGAGUCACUAAACCAGCUCGACUUGGACGACAAAAGCACAGCGAGGUUCGACCCUAUAGACCCGGUACGUGUCAGGGAAUCAACACGAUGGUGCCUGCACCUGAAAGAGCCGGCGUGUGUCGUCGGAGUCCCAACGGCGUAAACUCGGUGAGUUUUGGUCUAGGUUCUGCUUCUUGAUCUGUUCGACGGGAGAGCCUCCGGAAGGUUGGGAUUUGAUCUUGCCUAAAUUUAUGGAAUACUUCUCCUCCGCCAUAUAUUUUCUGACAACUAGAGCUUAAGGGUUUUCUCUCGCCGUGGUUUUGAUGAAAAAUAAGAACGAUUCGUACUGUUUUUGUUGUUUCAUAGACAUGUCUGUGGGUAUUAUAUGGGGACUUAAGAGACAAGGCAACUAAAUUAGUCGUUGUAAGGUUGUUGACAAACUGCAUUUUUAAGAUUCGGGUGGUUUAGUAUUCUAGAAAAGAAUAAAUAAGAAUUAGAGGGAAAUAUUUGACUUAGUGGUUAUAUUCUUCUUUUUCUAGUUACACAUUUACACAUUUGUGAUCGUCAAAUAGUUAGAGAAAUACAUGGAUAAAACCAAAAUAUAAUUACUGAAAAUAUAUUGGAAACAAAUUGUGUCUAAGCGCCAAACAAAACCCUAAAACUAUUUAAUUAAUUUGGCGAUGUUGUAAGUUGUAACUAAACAAAAAAACAUCCAAAAAUGUUAGUCUCCUAUUUGUAGUAUGGGGAUGACCUUGAAUUCAAAUCUAAAUUAAAGCACCUUAUUGUUGAAGUCAAAGUCAUUAAGAUGCCUUGUGAACCGAAGUUUAUGUCCAACAUGAAAAUCAGGUAUUCUAACUGUCGUACACCAGUUGAACGUAUAUAUAUACCAUGAAUUUGGUAACUACAAAAUUAGUUUGGAAGCUUAUGUAGUUACCUCGUUUAGGUUAAAUCACUGAGGGGUUAAAUAUGCUUUUAUUAGCAAAUAGAACUGAAAAUACAAGGCAUGAUGAGAAAUAACCAUAUGAAGUGUAAACACUAUUACUAUUACUUAUCAAAAAAAAAGAGUGUAAACACUAUAUCAAGAUUUUUAUAAAUGUUGUGGCAUUGUGAUUUGUAUCUCCUCACAAUGUACUUUACGGUUACUGGUGAGCUCUUUCUGUACAAAACUUUUGACACUCACUCACACAAGUAACCUACUUGCUUCAAACCAAAAAUAAAAAUAAAAACCUUUGAGAGAAGAAACCAAACAAACCAAAAACUAUAGAACUAAAAUCAGAGUCUCUUAUGAGCUCUUGUCUGCUUUAGGGUUUUGUGCUUUUUCAUCCGGAAAGAUCUUGUUUGCAGAGAGGACAACAAGAGAUGAUACGAAGCCACUGAUCUACACACUUAAGGUGAAACUUAUGUGAACAUGGAAGCUUCCUUACUUCUUCCUUGUCUUUAUACUUUGCCAAACAUAUACAACACUCCUGCAUAUCAAGAAUAAAGAAAAUCAAAACCUACUUUUUUCUAUCAUAUAUCUAUCUAAGAUUAAUAAUAUACAACAUUUGAUGUCAGAAUACUUAGUGGAUCAGACAGAGUAAUUACAAAUGAAACCAGUUCCGGUAUAGCAUCAUUGAAUAUCUGAUUGAUUAACCAUAUAUUCAAUUUUUGCUAAAACUCUGUCUUAAGAAAAACCCUUAUGGGUCUGCUUUGAUAUGUGAGUCAAAUGAUUAUAACUUACAGGAUCAUCAGUUUUAGGAGCUGAAUCAGAAGCAUUGUCGUCGGCUCGUUUGUGUUUCCAGCUAGGGAGACUAGAGAUUUGGUCAUCAGAUGCACCUCUGUCUGAAGAUCCCAUGUUCAUGUUGUAUCCAAGGAGACUACUAAUGAGAGGCACAAGGCAACAGAGGAAUAGGAAGAGAAGAAAGGGAAAAGAGUAGCAGAGAGCGUUCCAAGAAAGAAGAGAGACGCAGAGAACGUGAAGCUUUGGAGCAUGGUUGAAAGAACCGAAUCUAGAAUCAAACACCCAAACAUUCCCAACCACAAACCAAAUCGCAAAGAACAGCUCUAGAGACGUUCUGCACUUGUUCAUCAAAUGAGAGCUCCUGAAAUUUAAAACAUAUACGAUAUUAAUACAACUUCAGGAUCUUGCAAAGGUUAUAGUAUUCAAAAUCAAGAAAAUAUAAGUUACCUAGUUUCAUCUCUGCCUCUGUGUUGCUGCUCAAUAUCGACAAACCAGUUUCCUUGGUUUAGUUGGCGAAACCGACCAUAUAAUAGCAUAAGACUGAGGAGACAUCCCACAUCAUAACCUGUGAUCCAUAACCUCACUGGCCAAACAGGUCUCUCUUCUUUUGAGAUAGCUAGUGUGAGUGUAAUCACUGUAAGCUGAACAAGCAGGGCUAUAAGCUCAGACAUCAUCCACGUGCUGGAGUUAAAAGGGUUGGAGCCGAGAUCUGAUCUUGAUCCGUUUUGAUAGUGAAACACUCUUCUCAAGAAGAUAAACCAUCUAGCUCUAGAUACCCUCAUAGCAAACCUUAAGUAGAAGGACCUCUCUUGAACAGAGGCAGGCGCAUGAGUGUUGUCACUUCGUGGUGGUGUGGUACUCAAUGAAGAAGAUGAUGAAAUAGUUAUGGAGACAAUAUUGGAAGAUGAUUCAUCCAUUGGAAGUUUUCCAAAGCGUUCAAUAUAUAUUUAAACCUUCAAAGAAAAAAAGAUUGAACAUUAAAAAAAAAAAAAAAAAACUUCUGAAAGUUUAUAAGUUGUGAACACACACAUGAAACUUGGAAGUAUAUAAACGAAAAGAUCAUGGAAAAAAAACACAAGAAAAAACACAGAAACUAAAGAAAAGGAAUCAUGAAAUUUACAUGACCUAACAAUAAUAAAAACACAUGAAAAAUCUAUAUACCUUAUUUGCAACCACCAAAAAGGCAAAACUCAGCUCCGUACACGAACUCCACGACUUCCCGAAAAGGAGGAAUCUAUUUCACAAAAGGAAAGUACCUCUAGUAGCCUAAGCUUUGAGUAUAGAGAUAAGCUUUUGUCUGAAAUGAAAUAGGUUUUAUAGGGAUAACUUGUUUCUAAUAUAGGAGAAAAGAUUGAGAAGACAGGAACAAGAGAAAAAGAUGAUUACAAAGAAAGAUUAGGAAGGUGUUGUGUUUAUGUCAGGGAAGGUGAAGUUGGGCGAGAGAUGGCGACCAAGAAUCACACCAUAACAAAAGGAUUGUUUAUAUAUUUUAUAAGAGACAAACUCUUUGAAGUUUGUGUUUUGUUUUGUUUGCUUACGUUUGAAGAGAAACAAAGAAAGGGAGAGGAAGAGAACCGUUGGCCUAAUCUAACACCUGAGGUUUUGUUUAUGAAGAAAUGUUUAGAUCGCAACUGCUUAUUCCAACCGCCAAUGCAGACCUUCUCUCUCUACUCUGUUUCUCUCUCUCUAGGAUUGAGAGGAAAGGGAAAGAUAUUUUAUUUGAUUUCUUUUUGUUUUGUUUUUAUUUGUAGAAUUUUCGUUUUGGAAAAGAAAUGGAUAAGAAUUAAGAAUAUCUAGAUGAAGUCAUCAAUUCAAAAUUCACCGUAUGACAAAUCUUUUUGUUAUAACAGAACAAUCUUUCUCGCUUUUUAUUAUGUUGAUCAUUUCCCAACUAUAGUGAUAUUAAAUUUUAAUAAAAAAAUAUACUAUAUAUAAAAUUACAAAUUUUUCCUCUACGUCCAUAACUUAACCUUGUAGCAGUAUGGUUCUUAUUCGAUUCAGUGAUUUUACAUAUGUAAUUAUAUUAAAUCAUAUAUAUACACUUUUAUUUGGAUUAAAUAAAUAAAUGAUGCUUAAGAUUACUAAUUUUGACAACAAGAUUGUAUAACUUGGCGGGAGGAAAUGGGAAGGAGUGGGGGAUGGUUGGCUAACUAAUCUCAACCAGAAGAGUCUAUCAAUUAUCAUUUACGUUGUGGAGUGGAGCCCAAUUCCUCACUUUCUUUCAGUUUCCACGUUGUCUUUUGUCCCAUUAUUAUUUUUAUUUUUUGAAAAAGGCUUUUGCCCCAUUAUUGAGUUUUAUUUGUCAGAUGAUAGUUGUGAAAAAGUAUAUGAUUAAAAAUGAAUAAAAGCGAAUACAUUGUGAACGAAUUAAUAUUCUAGAACUUUCGCAAAUUUUUAAAGUCAAUUAUGUGAAUACUAUAUACGUAUAUGUUGAAACCUAGAGUAUUCAAAACAGAAUUUAGUUCUGCAUCUGUGAAAAUUAUAAAAGCGCUUUAGAACUAGUAUUCUGGUUCCGUUGGUCAAUCAUUCAAAUAUGUUGACUUUCUUACAUUGUAUUUUGACACCAAUUCACAUUUACAAAUUACAAGUUGAAGUUUCCGAGAUUGGAAAUAGAGUAAAAGCUAAAUGACUAUGCAUGGUAUAUCUCUAAAAAUAGUAAGUACUAACAGUUGACACUGACAGCACAAGAUCCAAAAUGAAUUUUUUUUUAUCUAAACGACAAGCAAUUUUAACUGUUAUCUAUAGUAACCUUCAAGGAACUACGAUUCUACAUCCGUCUUAUCGACUCAUUGCACUUUGUAAUUUAAAACUAAAUAAAUCUAAACUCUUUGAUUUACACAUCGAAUGAGGAUAAUUUAAUUUAAUCAUCAUUUCAUAAGGUUUAAUCGAAUUUGAAAGCUUGAACAUAAAUCAUGUUUCUCUCCGUGCAUCGUCGACCAUAUGUAUAUAUGUCGGUCUCGUCGACAAUUCGUCGACCAAUGGAGACAUGCAACAUCAUGAUUACUUUAGCAUGCGAAUAUUUCAUGAAUAUUGACUAAUUAUUAUAUUAUUUUUAUAAGAAAAAAAGAAACUCCAAGGCAACAUCACUCAAAGCAUAACACGUGGCUUCACACGAACACACAGACAGGUGGAUAAAAUUAAUAUCGUUAGCUAAGUUGAAAGUUUUUUUUUUUUUUUUUUUUUUUGUUAAGUUGUUGAAAGCUCAUUUAUCCAGUUAUGAGUUAUCAGAUAGCCACAGGACUUCUCGGUUGUUUUUGGUGGUUAUUGUAAUCCCAACAUCACUUUCGUCUUUUGUUAAAGUUAAUAUAAACUCUGUUUUUGUAAUCCAAACACGUAUUCUUUCUUUUUUCUUUUUAUACUUCAUCAUCGCUUCACAUUCUGGAUUUCCACAGCACGAGAAAUCAGGGCCGGUCCUUGACUAAAGCGGACAAAGCUAUAGGUUUAGGCGGCAAAAUUAUGUUACAUAUUUCAGGGGCAGCAAUUUUGUUAGAAAUGAUAGUGGUGUAGUAGUUGUUGCUAUAACUUGGAUUAUGGCUUCGAUUCUUUACUCUUACAUUUUUAUAGGCUAUAUAUUUUAUUGAUAGAUCUAAAGUUUUUGAGCUUUAGAUGCCACAUAGUGAUGGACCGGACCUCUGAGAAAUCCUUGUCAAAAUCAGCUAGAUCAUCCCACAUUACUUUCAGUCUGCCAAAGUAAACUUCAACUGCAUUGCCAUUCUGUUUGCAUGAUGCAAUCCAGCAUGAAGUUGAUGAACUUUUUGUAUCAUCGCUUAUAGAAAAGCCUCAGUUGAAGGCUUCCCCACAUAAUCUUUGCGCUGUCAACCAGUGAUAUUGACGGUCGCAAUUUUGGUUCUACACUCCUGUAGAUCCAACCAAUGAUCAUAGCAUUCACAAUAUCCCACUUUUUUCAUCUUCUGGUUUGUUGACUGGUUGUUUCAGAGUGCCAUCAACGAAACCUAUCUUUUGUUUGGUUCUUAACUAGUUGAACAUCAAUUUUGCCCAUUUUUCAUAAUUUGCUCCAUUCAAAAGAAUGAGUGUCUAAACUUGUCAUGUAUUAUCUAAAGGAUGGAGAUAAUAUGGAGAGACAAGUGGAUCGUUUCUCCACCAGUAGCUCAUGUCGGUGACGCCAUGCUAAUCGAGGUAGAUCAAAAAAAAUCUCAUCGUAACAGUAUAUUUUGGUGGUUCGUAAAUUUAUUAGCUUUGUAGAAAAUUUAGUUGUUUGGCUGUGAUACCAUAACAAACUAAUAUAAACUUUGUUUUUGUUAUUCAUCUCAAGGUCAAUACAUCGAUAUUUAUACACAUGAUAUGAGCCGUAACAAUAGGAGAUAACUACUACAACCAAUAAUGUUGUGUUUAUUUAAAUAUAUGUUUAUCCUUAACUAAUAUUUCGCACAUAUCACCGUCUGUUGAUAUAGGGUUUGACUAAGUUUUGAGUUAAGGUUAGUGCAUAUAUAACACCACAAACUUAAGACCUUAUCACACCAAAAUUACUAGUGCCUCGUAAAAACAAGGAUCUGAAGAAUAAAUCUGAUCCAAAAAGUUAUACCAAACUUGAACUGAAACUGAUAAAAUAUAUGAUGAAUAGAUUCAAAAUUUUAAUAUAUGGAAAAACCGGAGCAGAACCAAACUGAAAUAUUCCAGACACAUAAAAAUAAAUGAUCAUUAAUUAUAUGCUUAAAUAUAUUAAUUAUUUUUAAUAUAAUAUCUAAAAAUAUUCUGAAUUAUCAAAUACUUGGAAAAAUAUCUAAAAUUUGAAGAAGAAAAACUGACAUUGAAGUAAACUACAGUUAGAUAUGUAUGACCCCGAAUUAUUGGGCCCAAAUUAUUCUAUGGGUCAAUCUGGGCCCAAGUUGUUUAAAAUUAACAUAUUAGCGUAAUGCGUAAUGGAUCUCACUUAAGAAGGAUCUAGAAAUUCUGUAUUAUGUGGGUAUAUAUCUAAUUAUAUAAAAGAAUGUUUGAGUCUCUCCCGUCAUGUCCACGUGUAAAUUCUUUUGAUAUAGACUUGACGCGUGUCUCGCUUCUCCACAAACCGAGCUUUCUUCACUCCUUUUCGCUCUAUUGUUUUGGGCUUCAGUUGCCAGGCCCGUAAGUGAAGAUGAACCCUAGAUCGCGUUUCGCGUUUACACCAUCGCCUCCGUCCUGACUUUGCGAUUCCGGUAACGGUUCAGCCGAUACUUAACUCCCAUUUAUUGUUACCUCCACGAUGUGCCUUCAAUGCGGUCGUCGCGUCGCAUAGGCGGUGAGUUUUUUUGUAUAUAUAGACAUCAGAUCUCUCAUCUUCGAUUCAUCAAAUCUUUGUUGCUUAGUACUCAUAUAGAUUCCGCUUCAGUUUUGUCAUGUCUACUCCCAGGGUUUUCUUCUCAGACCUCAAGUCCGGCAAGUGCUCAUCCGCUGUUGAGGCUCGGCUUCUGCGAUUCUGGGAGGCGAAGAAUGUCAAACGCGGUGGGGAGCUGAUGUGGGUCGACAUGCUCUUGAUUGAUGUCAAUGUGAGUUAUUUUCAUACAUGAUUAAUCCGAUUAAACUCUUCGUGUUUGGUUUUUUUUUCCUAAAGUUUAAUCAAUUUUUUUUUUCAUGUAUCAGGCGACAAUGAUGCAAGCCACCAUCUAUGCUAACCGCCUUUCAAGAUUUCGUUCCAAACUCGCCGCCGGAACGAUGUACACCAUCUCUGGAUUCGACUCCCCUCUGAUGAUCCGGUUUAAUGAUUCCACCGCCUUUGAUGAGCUAACCGAGCCGGUUAGUCCAUUACCUGAAGAAGGAUUCCGGUUCCGUAAUCAGUCUGAAUAGCAAGGGUUCAUCGUGUUCGUCGACCUUUGGGUAAUCUCAAACAAUGGAGUUUCGAAGAGAGUUAUCAGAGACGGAUCGAUCGAUCUGUAUUCGUGUCGUUUCGUCUUGCUUCUGGAUGAAUUGAUUUGAUGCCAUUAAUGAUAUUCUUAACUCCAUCAAGCCACUGCAACCACGUUUUGUCAUUCAAUACACCUUCUAUCUCUUCAAAGGCGGUGCAUCUCAAGCUAUAAAAAGCUGAGCUUUCAUCCCAUAAACAUUAUCCUCACAAAUCAAAAUAAUCCUUGAAAGUUAUUUGAUUUUUUAACUCAAUAUUGAUGUUUGUUGUUUGCUUUUUAUACUUUUAUUAUAUGCUUGAAUCAGCAACGCAGGGCCGUGCUAGGCAGGAACUAGAAGACUCUUGCUUUUCGGAUUCCCUUCAUUAACAUAAUCAACAAACUCAACUCUAAACACAGGUUUGUUAAAUCUAUCGUUGUACUUUUGUAAUUGAAGACUCAAAGUUUUACACUUUCUAUGGUUCUUAUUUGGAUUCGAUGUGUGAAAGGCUUGGUAAGAACCAUUUUUGUUUGGUUUUGGCUCCGACAAGAGAGCUUGCUGGUCCGGUAGCAAAUAAAUUCAGAGAAGCCCCAUCUCUCGGUGAGGCACGAAACAGAACAGCAAAAUGAGAACUCUCAGAUGCAGAAUUUCGCUGGUGUUGGUGGUGCUCCUGUUGGUGAUAGUUUAGGACCUUCACGUCUCUCUCCGGCUGACUUCUACGUCUUGAAAGUUUGACAGGGCAUGUGAAUCAUAAUGUAAGCUUUUGAAUUUUUUUUUACAAGUUAUAUACUUUUGGCAGGUAAUGCUUUAGAUAGUAGAUGAUAGUUUUGAAUGUUUUUUUACAAAUUAUUGACUUUUGGACAUGUUAUGCUUUAAGAUAAUGGAUGAUAGUUGGAGAGCAAAAUUUGACAGAGAGUGAGAUAAGAUGGCUUUAGGCUAUGCUUUAAGGCUUAUGGUAUCUAGAGAGAUUGUAUUCCUGAUGGUGAUGAAACUGCUAACAACAUUAUGAGUGUCUCAUGUCCAAACGAGAAAAAUGUUUCCUGUGUCUGGAUUUUUUUUUCUGUUUUUUUUUUGUACCUAAGAUGUUAUGUCUAUCAAUUGUAUUUUGGAAAUCCACAUUUGUUCUGUUUCUAAAAACGUUUAUAUAUGUGUGUACACACAUGUAAUCUAAACUUCUAAGCUCUUCAUAUUAUGUGCAAUGUUAUGACUCAGGAGGAUGAUAAAGCUGAGGCUCCGGAGGAUGAGAUGGUUGUGAAAGAGCCUGAGGUAGAAAAUAAACAGAACUGGAACCGGUGUUUGAAAAACAGAAGGAGAGGAGGCAGAAAGCUUUGAAUGAGAAAGAGAUGGAUAAUGUUGCAUACAAUGACUUCGAAACUUCUAUCAAGCAUUACUCCAAAAAGGCAUUAGGGAGAAACAGAAACAUGAAGAGGUGAAUCGUUUAAAGAGGGAGACUGCUGAAACAGAGGAAUCACAUAGACGAAUAAGAAGAAGAGAGUAAGAGACCCAUGACAGAGCGUCAAGCUGCAGAGAGAGAGAGAAGCUACUAGACUGAGAAUAAGGCAAGAAAAGGCACUUCAUCUUGACGGAUCUGAGAAAGGACCUGAUGCUAAACAUGUAAGUUAUCUUUUCUUUAACACCCAUUACUUAUACUUCGUUCAUGAAAGGCCAAACUAUUACUUUCUAUGCAAAGCACAUCAGUCUAAUUUUUAUGCUGUUGGGAUUCAGAACUUUGUGAUAGUAUAAAAUUUUAAUUUUUAUCAAGCCUUAUAAAUCUCUUUAUAAAUGCAGGAGUCAACAGAAGUUUUUUUUUAUUCUUUAUCGAUGCUUGAAGCGGUAACUCAUCUCUCUCUCUCUAAAUACAUGUAUGUAUAUAUUUCUCAGUACAAUGUCUUACAAAUACGCUUAUCUGUUUUGUUGAAACAUUUGAUUUGUUCUGGACCUUGCGGGGAAUGGUAACAUCAAAUAUGUGUUAUUUACAAUCUACAUAAAUACAUUGACAAAACUGCAAACUUCCUUUGAUUGUGUCUCUUGCUGUUUGUUCUAGGAGGCACAUAUUAUGAACAUAAGAUGUCACUUCUGGCUACUACAAAGUAUCAAGGUAAAAAUUAGAUUCAAAAUUUCUCUUAUGCAAUUCCUGAUAACUUUAAAACUCAUCAUAGUGUUUUCACCUUUUUCUUCUGGUGAUAGGAUCAUUUGAAGAAGAUAGCAUGGUGAUGGAUUCAAAUAUGUAGGUAACAAAAACCACAACUCUUUCUCCCCACUUUCCAACUAUUUGGAUAUUUUAAAAUCAUUUAUUCGUUUAUUGCUUUUAGAUCUUUUACAUUCAUGAUUUGCAUCAAACAAUGUUCACUGUACUCUUCUUCAAUUAGUGAAGGGAAGAGCCAGAGGAUGAGACAUGGGUCAUUCCGGAGAUAAACGUCGUGCCGUGGUGGAAUGUUAACGUAUAGAUCUGAAGGAGAGGCCAAACAAAUCUUUUCUUUAGUCGAUAGAAACACAGUUUUUGUUUUUGUCGAGAGUAACUAUAUAAAAAUUAAUAAUAUUUUAUAAAAACCGAACGAGAGGCACAAUAUAAAACAACGUGAUAAAGAAUAUAUAAGCAUAAUAAAACUAUAAUAUAAAAUAAACUAAACAUAUCACAAAUUUACACAACAAAAAUAAUUUAUAGUAUUCUUAUAUCAAACAAUUUUAAUCAAAAAAUGACAAAAAUAAAAAAAAGAGCAGUCACGAAAAAUAAUGAUUCAUGCAUAAUAUAUAACAAACUAUUCAAAUAAAAAUCAAAUAUUAGUUAGUAUGUUUAGUUUUCUCAAACAUUCCUCUAAUCAUACUAACAUUGUAACAAUCUAUUACUUUUUGAAAGUGGGGUGCUGCAUUUUGUGUCCGUAAAGGACCAGAAGAAGAACGUUUGGCUACAUAGGUAUGUCUCUGCAUUUAAAUAGAUUUGUGUAUCAUGUUAUUGGCUUAAUGCUUUCGUGUUGAUCAUUCUGUUUAUGUGCAAUACUUGGACCACAGAGAGUGAGCAUGAUCGAGUAUGAACUCAAGAACAUGUGUAGACUUUAACAUGGUGAGUCAGCAUCCCCGAUUCUGAUGAACUCAUGUAACUGAUCUUACAGAGGGAGAUGAUCCCCUGAAUUGGCUGUUACCAUCAACUAUUGUUUGUUUUAUAAAACAAACAAAUCUUCUUUUUUUUUCCACUGUACUUUUCUAUAUAUAAAACAAAUCUAAAAUAACCAACAACUGGAUGCAAACCUCUUUGAAUGUGAAUGUGUAAAGUCAAAAAGUAGGCUGAAUCAGUCCAAUUAAUUGUUUAUGACACAAAGACAAAAUUAAGAAAAACAAUAUUUUAAACUUACGACAAAUACUCAGUAACAUAUUAUUUAACCGUACAACAGCAUGCUACAUACAAAGACACAGCACUCGGCGGUGAGCAACGCAGCACUCGGCAGAGAGAAAGAAGAAAUCGGCGGAGAAUAACGGAGAAAGUAGUGAAAGAGCAACAGAGCAAUGGCGGAUAGCAAUGAACAAGAGGCAUUGAGAUGGAUCAAGUGACGGAAAGAGUGAGAUGGACAGACAUGAAACAAGCGACAGAUAGUGUGACAAGAGAAAGGAAAUGAAAUUGCUGCAGUUCAAUAUGGCACAAGGGAGGUUCAUAGGCUCUCAGACAUGGUAAAUUAAUCACUCUGUUAGAAAACAUAUAACAAAGGUACAUGCCCAAUUGUGCUUAUUUCUUUCAAAGUAGAACCUCAUGAAAGAAAGUUGACACCUAUUGAAGAUAUCAAAGCUCUAAACAUGAAAACAUAAGUAAUUUCAAAUUCUAACAACAUUAAAAUCUGGAAUCUUCUUUGUAUUUGUUCAAAGUUUGUUAUACGAAUCCUUCUUUGCAUGUCUCUCCACAUGUUCAGUGCAUAUAUCAUAAGUUAGAUUGUAUGUUAUGUGUGGUCAUGUUAAUUUUGUACUUAUUGACUAUAAAAUGCAUUUUAUUCAUGAAUGGUUAACGGUAACAACUGUAUUUGGGACAUGAAAAAAAAUACAAUAGUGUUGUACUUAAUAGAAAACGACAAUAAUUUCACAAAUAAUCCAUUUAUAAUUAAGCAUGAAAAAAAACACUCAUUAAUUCAAAUAAUAACUCAGAAUAUAUAUAAAAGCUAACAUCUAACCAUUCAAUUAUUAUCCAAAAUUCUUAAACAAAAGAACUUUAACCAUUCAUAAUAUAAAUUGUAUAACAAAAUUAACAAACACCAUAUAAUAUCAUACACAAAUUCAUCAACAAAUAAUAAUCACAAUAUAACAAAAUUUGUUAUACUUUGGUGAUAACUUUUUUGAAUCAACAACAAAUUUUGAGAUACAAUUAUGAUUAUCAUUUUUCAAAAUUGAUUAUAUAUAUAUAUAUACAUAUAUUAUAAAUGGGGGCAUUUACAUCAAAACAGACUUUUGUCGAAAUGGAAUAAAAAUUUGAAAAGAAAAAAUUUCAAACACUUAUGAAAAUAAGAUAAAUAAUAUUUUGAUAAUGGGUUCAAUUAGUUGGAUUGUAAAUGCAUAACUUUUAUUGUAAGAACUCAGUUUGUCAUUUUUAGUGCCAUAGUUGUAAGUUUUUUUAUCUACAAAAUAUUACAAUUUUUAAACAGUUGAUUAAAAAAAAGCAUAAAGAUAUAUAAGGUGGUAAAUUAAAAGGUAGAGUCCAUUAAAUAAAUCAUAUACUAAUUAGAAACAAACGUUAUAAAUAGUUUUAUGUGUACUGAAACAUGUAAGCAAAUCAACCAAUUAAGCACCAUAAAUAAAAAAAAAAAUUUAAAAAAACAAAAAAAUAUUUAAAUUUUGUUCAUUCUGCUUUUUACCUUAUAUAUAAUUUUUAAUGACAAAAAAUAGAUACACAAAUUUCGAAUCGCGUAAGACAAAAACAUUGAAUAUUUUAAAUUAUUUUACAUUUAUCUAUAGUUUUAUAUAUUUUUAUAAUAGAUUAUCAAAUUUAUAUAUUAAAAUAAUCAUACUAAAUAUAUAAUUAAAAUUAAAUUUAAUAAAAAAACCCGGGCGUAGCCCGGGCCGACCCUAGUAUAUAUAUAUAUACACACAACUACUUCCUUCAUAACUUAUAUCUUCGACUACUUGGCUGCUGCUCUCUCUCUCUCCUUGAUAAACCCUAGAUCUCCCCGAUAAGCAGCAACAAUGGCAGACGCAGAGACCUUCGCUUUCCAGGCUGAGAUCAACCAGUUGCUCUCGCUCAUCAUCAACACCUUCUACAGCAACAAGGAGAUCUUCCUUCGUGAGCUCAUCAGUAACUCUUCCGAUGUACGUCUCUUUUGCUUUCUCCUGGAUCGAUCUGUCGAUUAGGUUUGAUUAGUGUUGCUGUUGUAUCCGAUUUGAAUAUUGAAGUAGGGAGCUCUAUGAUAUUCAAAUCUGUCUUCCUAGAUUUAGUUUUGCUACCAUGGUUAAGCAUUAGGUGUUAAGCUUCGAUGAAUUUGAUUUUCGUCUUUUAUGAGAUAAUCGCAUCUUCAAUCUAUGUGCAUUCGGUUUGUUUGUAUACUUAUGGUUGGAUCUUACUCUGGUGACUUAGUUUUUGAAUGAAAUAAGUAACUCGGAGGUAUAGUUUUGGAUUGAUUCUACGAGAUAGUUUGAGUUUCUUUCUAUGCGUUUGUAUACGUUCUUGCGUUUGUUACUUAAUGGUUUUGAUCUGAUUCUUGUGAAACAGGCGUUGGACAAGAUUAGGUUCGAGUCCUUGACUGAUAAGAGCAAACUCGAUGGCCAGCCAGAGCUUUUCAUUCACAUCAUUCCUGACAAGACUAAUAACACCUUGACCAUUAUCGAUAGUGGUAUCGGUAUGACCAAGGCUGAUUUGGUCAACAACCUUGGAACCAUUGCGAGGUCUGGUACCAAGGAGUUCAUGGAGGCGUUGGCUGCUGGUGCUGAUGUUAGCAUGAUUGGGCAGUUUGGUGUUGGUUUCUACUCUGCUUACUUGGUCGCUGACAAGGUUAUUGUGACUACUAAACACAAUGACGAUGAGCAGUACGUGUGGGAGUCUCAGGCUGGUGGGUCUUUCACCGUGACCAGAGACACCUCUGGAGAGAGUCUUGGUAGGGGUACUAAGAUGGUCCUUCACCUCAAGGAAGACCAGUUGGAGUACCUUGAGGAGAGGAGGCUUAAGGAUUUGGUCAAGAAGCACUCUGAGUUCAUCAGCUACCCAAUCUCCCUGUGGAUCGAGAAGACUAUUGAGAAGGAGAUUUCUGAUGACGAGGACGAGGAAGAGAAGAAGGACGAGGAAGGAAAGGUUGAGGAGGUCGACGAGGAGAAAGAAAAGGAGGAGAAGAAAAAGAAGAAGAUUAAGGAGGUUUCUCACGAGUGGGACUUGGUGAACAAGCAGAAGCCUAUUUGGAUGAGGAAGCCCGAGGAGAUCAACAAGGAGGAGUACGCUGCCUUCUACAAGAGUCUCAGCAACGAUUGGGAAGAGCACUUGGCCGUGAAGCACUUCUCUGUUGAAGGACAGCUCGAGUUCAAGGCUGUUCUCUUUGUACCCAAGAGAGCUCCUUUUGAUCUAUUUGACACCAAGAAGAAGCCCAACAACAUCAAGCUCUACGUACGUCGUGUCUUCAUCAUGGACAACUGUGAGGACAUCAUCCCAGAGUACCUUGGCUUUGUCAAAGGUAUUGUCGACUCGGAAGAUCUCCCCCUCAACAUCUCAAGAGAGACGUUGCAGCAGAACAAGAUCCUUAAGGUCAUCCGCAAGAACCUCGUGAAGAAGUGCAUGGAGCUCUUCUUUGAGAUUGCUGAGAACAAGGAGGACUACAACAAGUUCUACGAAGCUUUCUCUAAGAAUUUGAAGCUCGGCAUCCACGAGGACUCUCAGAACAGAACCAAGAUCGCUGAGCUACUCCGUUACCACUCAACCAAGAGCGGUGAUGAGUUGACCAGCCUCAAGGAUUACGUGACAAGGAUGAAGGAAGGUCAGGAGGAUAUCUUCUACAUCACCGGUGAGAGCAAGAAGGCUGUGGAGAAUUCUCCAUUCCUUGAGAGGCUCAAGAAGAAAGGGUAUGAAGUCCUUUACAUGGUGGAUGCCAUCGAUGAGUAUGCCAUUGGCCAGCUCAAGGAAUUCGAGGGAAAGAAGCUCGUCUCUGCAACCAAGGAAGGUCUGAAACUGGAAGAGUCAGAAGACGAGAAGAAGAAAAAGGAAGAGCUAAAGGAGAAGUUCGAAGGACUCUGCAAAGUGAUCAAGGACGUCCUUGGAGACAAAGUCGAGAAGGUCAUUGUCUCUGACCGUGUUGUGGACUCACCAUGCUGUCUGGUAACAGGGGAAUACGGCUGGACUGCAAACAUGGAGAGGAUCAUGAAAGCGCAGGCCUUGAGAGACAGCAGCAUGGGAGGUUACAUGUCUUCCAAGAAGACGAUGGAGAUCAACCCAGAGAAUGCGAUCAUGGACGAGCUGAGGAAGAGGGCUGAAGCAGACAAGAACGACAAGUCUGUGAAAGAUCUUGUUCUCCUCCUCUUUGAGACUGCCCUUCUCACUUCAGGUUUCAGCUUAGACGAGCCCAACACCUUCGGAAGCAGAAUCCACAGGAUGUUGAAGCUGGGAUUGAGCAUUGAUGAUGAUGAUGCCGUUGAAGCCGAUGCAGAGAUGCCACCGCUUGAGGAUGAUGCCGAUGCUGAAGGCAGCAAGAUGGAGGAGGUCGACUAAAAGCCUGCCCUGUUGCUGCAGUCGAUUAUUUUUCUGGACUUCUCUGAUCCUUUUU
rnacentral:lncRNA from 1 species